UUCUCAAUUGCUCUAAGCUCGAAUAUCUCCUCUUGUUGCAAAACUCCUUCGUGGGUCCAAUUCCAGCUGAUAUUGAUCGACUUUCACGUCUCCGGUACCUAGACCUCACCGCAAACAACUUCUCUGGAGAUAUUCCCGCAGCAAUUGGGCGGCUACGGGAGCUGUUCUACUUGUUUAUGGUUCAAAAUGAGUUCAACGGCACCUGGCCAACAGAGAUUGGUAAUUUGGCAAAUCUUGAACAAUUGGCCAUGGCCUAUAAUGACAAAUUCCGGCCUUCAGCCCUUCCAAAGGAGUUUGGCGCAUUGAAGAAGCUGAAAUUUCUGUGGAUGACGGAGGCGAAUUUGAUCGGCGAAAUACCGAAGAGCUUCAACAAUCUAUCGAGUCUGGAACGCUUGGACCUCUCACUCAACGAAUUGAAUGGUACGAUCCCGGUAGGCAUGCUUACGUUGAAGAAUUUGACCUAUUUGUAUUUAUUCUGUAAUAGAUUGUCAGGCCGCGUUCCUUCAUCGAUAGAAGCUUUCAACUUGAAAGAAAUUGAUCUUUCCGACAACCAUUUGACGGGGCCGAUACCAGCAGGUUUCGUGAAGCUACAAAAUUUGACAUGUUUGAAUCUUUUUUGGAAUCAGUUGUCAGGAGAGAUACCAGCAAAUAUAAGCCUCAUUCCUACACUUGAAACCUUCAAAGUUUUUAGCAAUAAAUUGAGUGGAGUUUUGCCCCCAGCAUUUGGCCUUCAUUCGGAGCUCAAAUUCUUUGAGAUUUUUGAGAAUAAACUAAGCGGGGAACUACCGCAACAUUUAUGCGCUAGGGGAACUUUGCUUGGAGUGAUUGCUUCCAACAAUAAUCUCAGCGGAGAAGUGCCCAAGUCCCUCGGGAAUUGCAGAAGUUUGCUCACCAUUCAGGUUUCCAACAAUCGCUUUUCAGGCGAGAUUCCUUCUGGCAUCUGGACAUCCCCGGGCAUGGUAUCGGUGAUGUUAGCUGGAAAUUCAUUCUCGGGGGCACUUCCAAGUAGAUUGGCAAGGAAUUUGUCCAGAGUGGAUAUCAGUAACAACAAGUUUUCUGGUCCAAUUCCUACUGAAAUCUCUUCUUGGAUGAAAAUAGGUGUUCUUAAUGCCAACAACAAUAUGUUGUCAGGAAAAAUUCCAGUGGAAUUGACCAGUCUUUGGAACAUCUCUGUUCUGUUGCUUGAUGGGAAUCAAUUCUCGGGUGAACUUCCAUCCCAGAUCAUCUCAUGGAAGUCACUCACUAAUUUGAAUCUCUCAAGAAACAAACUGUCAGGCCUAAUUCCCAAGGCAUUAGGUUCUUUACCUAGCCUUACUUACCUCGACCUGUCAGAAAACCAGUUCUUAGGUCAAAUUCCUUCUGAACUCGGUCAUUUGAAGCUUAAUAUCCUCAAUCUUUCGUCCAACCAACUCUCUGGGUUGGUCCCCUUUGAGUUUCAAAAUGCAGCAUACAAUUACAGUUUCUUGAACAAUCCCAAACUGUGUGUCAAUGUUCCCACUCUGAACCUCCCUAGAUGUGAUGCCAAACCCGUUGACUCCUACAAAUUGUCAACCAAAUAUCUUGUUAUGAUCCUAAUUUUCGCUCUAUCUGGUUUCCUAGCUGUUGCCUUCUUUACCCUGUUCAUGGUUCGACACUAUCACAGGAAGAAUCAUAGUCGAGACCAAACAAAUUGGAAGCUUACUCCAUUCCAAAAUCUGGAUUUCGAUGAACAGAACAUAUUGUUCGGUUUGACAGAAAAUAAUUUGAUCGGACGUGGUGGGUCAGGGAAAGUAUACCGAAUUGCUAAUGACCGUUCUGGUGAAAUCUUUGCUGUUAAAAUGAUUUGUAACAACGGGAGAUUGGAUCACAAGCUUCAGAAACCAUUCAUAGCAAAAGACGAGAUAUUGGGCACCUUACACCAUUCCAAUAUAGUGAAGUUGUUGUGCUGCAUAUCAAAUGAAACCACAAGUCUUCUUGUUUAUGAGUACAUGGAGAACCAAAGUUUGGAUAGAUGGCUUCAUGGGAAGAAGCAGAGAACAUCGUCCAUGACAAGUUCAGUUCAUAACUUCGUCUUGGAUUGGCCAACAAGGUUGCAGAUUGCCAUCGGAGCUGCAAAAGGCCUACGCCACAUGCAUGAAUACUGUUCUGCCCCGAUCAUACAUCGAGAUGUAAAGUCCAGCAACAUCUUACUAGACGCUGAGUUCAACGCGAAAAUUGCAGAUUUUGGAUUAGCCAAGAUGUUGGUCAAGCAAGGAGAGCCUGACACCAUGUCAGGAGUUGCAGGCUCUUACGGAUAUAUUGCCCCCGGUAAGACUAUCCAAGGCCUUCCUGUCCACAUGUUCUCAUUUCCAUAAUUUAUCGAUAAUUUUUAUCAAAUAAUUCUUGUAUGCUUGGAUGACAGAGUAUGCUUAUACAACAAAGGUGAACGAGAAGAUUGAUGUAUAUAGCUUUGGAGUAGUUCUGCUUGAGCUGGUGACGGGGAGAGAACCCAACAGCGAGCACAUGUGCCUUGUAGAAUGGGCAUGGGAUCAGUUUAGAGAAGGGAAAACCAUUGAGGAAGUGGUGGAUGAGGAGAUCAAGGAACAAUGUAACAGAGCACAAGUGACCACUCUCUUCAAUCUAGGCCUCAUGUGCACUACCACAUUACCAUCCACUAGGCCAACAAUGAAGGAGGUUUUGGAAAUUCUUCGACAGUGCAAUCCUCAGAAGGACCAUGGAAGAAAGAAAAAGGACCAUGAAGCUGCACUCGAACAUACAUCGAGAUGUAAAGUCCAGCAACAUCUUACUAGACGUUGAGUUCAACGCGAAAAUUGCAGAUUUUGGAUUAGCCAAGAUGUUGGUCAAGCAAGGAGAGCCGGACACUAUGUCAGGAGUUGAAGGCUCUUAUGGAUAUAUUGGCCCCGGUAAGACCAUCCAAGGCUUUUCUGUCCACAUGUUCUCAUUUCCAUAAUUUAUUGAUAAUUUUUAUCAAAUAAUUCUCGUAUGCUUGGAUGACAGAGUAUGCUUAUACAACAAAGGUGAAGGAGAAGAUCGAUGUAUAUAGCUUUAGAGUAGUUCUUCUUGAGCUGGUGACGAGGAGAGAACCCAAUAGCGAGCACAUGUGCCUUGUAGAAUGGGCAUGGGAUCAGUUUAGAGAAGGGAAAACCAUUGAGGAAGUGGUGGAUGAGGAGAUCAAGGAACAAUGUGACAAAGCACAAGUGACCACUCUCUUCAAUCUAGGCCUCAUGUGUAUUACCACAUUACCAUCCACUAGGCCAACAAUGAAGGAGGUUUUGGAAAUUCUUCGACAGUGUAGUCCUCAUGAGGACCAUGGAAGAAAGAAAAAGGACCAUGAAGCUGCACCCGAACAUACAUUGAGAUGUAAAGUCCAGCAACAUCUUACUAGACGCUGAGUUCAGCGCGAAAAUUGUAGAUUUUGGAUUAGCCAAGAUGUUGGUCAAGCAAGGAGAGUCGGACACCAUGUCAGGAGUUGAAGGCUCUUACGGAUAUAUUGCCCCCGGUAAGACCAUCCAAGGCCUUCCUGUCCACAUGUUCUCAUUUCCAUAAUUUAUCGAUAAUUUUUAUCAAAUAAUUCUCGUAUGCUUGGAUGACAGAGUAUGCUUAUACAACAAAGGUGAACGAGAAUAUCGAUGUAUAUAGCUUUGGAGUAGUUCUGCUAGAGCUGGUGAUGGGGAGAGAACCCAACAACGAGCACAUGUGCCUUGUAGAAUGGGCAUGAGAUCAGUUUAGAGAAGAGAAAACCAUUGAGGAAGUGGUGGAUGAGGAGAUCAAGGAACAAUGUGACAAAGCACAAGUGACCACUCUCUUCAAUCUAGGCCUCAUGUGCACUACCACAUUACCAUCCACUAGGCCAACAAUGAAGGAGGUUUUGGAAAUUCUUCGAUAGUGCAGUCCUUAGGAGGACCAUGGAAGAAAGAAAAAGGACCAUGAAGCUGCACCCGAUCAUACAUCGAGAUGUAAAGUCCAGCAACAACUUACUAGACGCUGAGUUCAGCGCGAAAAUGGUAGAUUUUGGAUUAGCCAAGAUGUUGGUCAAGAAAGGAGAGCCUGACACCAUGUCAGGAGUUGAAGGCUCUUACGGAUAUAUUGCCCCCGGUAAGACCAUCCAAGGCCUUCCUGUCCACAUGUUCUCAUUUCCAUAAUUUAUCGAUAAUUUUUAUCAAAUAAUUCUCGUAUGCUUGGAUUACAGAGUAUGCUUAUACAACAAAGGUGAACAAUAAGAUCGAUGUAUAUAGCUUUGGAGUAGUUCUGCUUGAGCUGGUGACGAGGAGAGAACCUAAUAGCGAGCACAUGUGCCUUGUAGAAUGGGCAUGAGAUUAAUUUAGAGAAGGGAAAACCAUUGAGGAAGUGGUGGAUGAGGAGAUUAAGGAACAAUGUGACAGAGCAUAAGUGACCACUCUCUUUAAUCUAGGCCUCAUGUGCACUACCACAUUACCAUCCACUAGGCCAACAAUGAAGGAGGUUUUGGAAAUUCUUCGACAGUGCAGUCCUCAUGAGGACCAUGGAAGAAAGAAAAAGGACCAUGAAGCUGCACCUGAACAUACAUCGAGAUGUAAAGUCCAGCAACAUCUUACUAGACGCUGAGUUCAACGCGAAAAUUGUAGAUUUUGGAUUACCCAAGAUGUUGGUCAAGCAAGGAGAGCCCGAUACCAUGUCAGGAGUUGCAGGCUCUUACAGAUAUAUUGCCCCCGGUAAGACCAUCCAAGGCCUUCCUGUCCACAUGUUGUCAUUUCCAUAAUUUAUCGAUAAUUUUUAUCAAAUGAUUCUCGUAUGCUUGGAUGACAGAGUAUGCUUAUACACCAAAGGUGAAGGAGAAGACCGAUGUAUAUAGCUUUGGAGUAGUUCUUCUUGAGCUGGUGACGGGGAGAGAACCUAACAGCGAGCACAUGUGCCUUGUAGAAUGGGCAUGGGAUCAGUUUAGAGAAGGGAAAACCAUUGAGGAAGUGGUGGAUGAGGAGAUCAAAGAACAAUGUGACAGAGCACAAGUGACCACUUUCUUCAAUCUAGGCCUCAUGUGCACUACCACAUUACCAUCCACUAGGCCAACAAUGAAGGAGGUUUUGGAAAUUCUUCGACUGUGCAGUCCUCAGGAGGACCAUGGAAGAAAGAAAAAAGACCAUGAAGCUGCACCCCUGCUUCUAAAUGGCACUUAACCUGCCACUUUCAAGCAUAACGACAAGGGAUUUCUAUUUUUCUGUCAUUACUAUAGUGGGAUUUCAAAGAAAUGGGCUUCAUUUUUUAAACUUCUUAUUACCAGCAGGAGUCCCACUACCGUUAGCACCUUUGUUAGUAGUUCUUGAGCUAAUCCCUCAUUGUUUUCAUGCAUUAAACUUAGGAAUGCAUUUAUUUGCUAAUAUGAUGGCCGGUCAUACUUCAGUAAAGAUUUUAAGUGGGCUUGUGUCACGCCCAAAAUCUAGGUAACCCAAAACUCGACUCGUGACCUCAGGUCAAAAGUUUGACCCUAAGAGUUACUCCUAUCCACGUUGGCAAUCAACCAAAAUAUCCUGAUUUUUUUUUUCUAUUUUUCAAUAAAGUGUUUAAUCCCAAAUAAAUUUAUUAAGUUAAGAUUUACUGUAACAUAUUAUUUUAUUUUUCCAAAACCAACUAUCACACUAUCUCCUGUUCACAAGUAUAAUAAAUCCACCAAUAAUCUUUCUACCCAAAAACUCAAAUAUUUAUAAUAAUCUCCAAGUCAAAAAGAAUAUUUCCAAAAAUGUUUUACAAACUAACAAAAUAUAAUUUAAUUUACAAAAGUCCAUAUAACUCAAAUUAACACAUGUCAAAAAGGUAAUAUACAUCUAAAAACAACCAUUAUUAUGGUUCUUUUGCUUUCUGGAACACUUCCUAAUCUUCCUGUGGCCCCUCAAAAACUAUAUUGACAUCUAAAAAUUUUAGAAAAUAAAAGAGUGAGCAUUUUCACGUUGCUUAGUAGGGUGUUUUACACCCAAAUGAGUUACACAUUCUAGGUCAAUAAAACACAACUAUAUACCAAAAUAUAAUGUUACAUUUACAUUAUACACACUAAAAGAAACCUCAACUAUACAAAUUUAAACUAAUCAAAAUUAUCAUUUUUCUUAUUCAAUAAUAUGCCUAACAUAUCAAUAAUUCUAAAUUUACAAAAUAAAUAAGCCAUUUUAGUCUUGAAUAAUAUAUUCAAACAUACACUUGAUAAAUAAUACAAAUCCUUCUUCCAAAUGCAACCAUGAUGCAAAUGUUUACACGCAAUCACGCAAUACACUAUCAUUCUCGAGCUUUCACCGAAAGAUACGCGUCCAUACCCAAAUACACUCUCCAUUUAGAAUUAUCUCGGGGUAAACUUUUGGGUCUUUCACCUUAAGGAUCUCACUCUCUUCUUAAUUCACCAUCUCUAGGGUCAUUCCAUUUCUUAUUUUUCUUUUCAUUUCAUUUUUGCCAUCUUCGGGGUCUUUUCAUUCUCAUUUCCCUUUCACACAACGAUUUAAUUUCUUUAAUUUUUCUUUUUCUUCACACAACCAUGAUGCAUAUGAAAUGCAAUCAAAUCAUAUUUUAACAUCCACAAAUUUCCAAAACAUAAUUCUAUUUACUCCCAUUAUGUUUCAUAAUUUCCAACAAUUCACACAACGAUUUUUCUCCACUUUAAUCACCACAAACGUCAAAGAAAAUUCAUAAUUAAUUUAUAUAGUAUCAAAACAUAGUUUUAGACCUUAGCCACAUAAAUUCUAUUUAUUCUCGACAUGCUUAAUAAUUUCCAACAACCAAUAUAACCAUUUUUUUUCUUCAAUUAAAUAACCACAUAUAACCAAGAAAAUUCCCACUAAUACAAAUAUCAACAAAAAAGUAAUUUAUGUCAUAAUUUAUUUAUCUUCAAUAAUCUCAAUAAUUUUAACACUCAAUACAACAAUUUUCCACAACUAAGCCACCACAACAUUCAGAAUUUUUUUUUCAAUAAUUCAAAUAUUAACAAAAUCCCAAUUUAUACCAUCAAUUUAUUUAUUUCUAACAAUAUUAAUAAUUUUAAAACAAUAAAUUUAACCAUAUCUCAAUAUUAAAAAAUUUCAACAAAUAAAUUCCAUUAUUUUCAACACUAAUAUAUCAUCAAUAAAUUUAUAAAAUUUCUAAUAUGAUAAAAAUCACAAAAAUAUAUUAACCAAUGUUCCAAAUAAACAAAGUUCCAUAACCACAAAAAUCCGGUAAAUUCUAUCAUAAGGACAACAAUUAAAUACCAACAAUUCUAAUAUUUUUAUCUUGCAUUAAACUUUUAUCCACUUUCCAUUUAACAUUUUCAAAGCAAAACCAAAUCAUUUCAUAUAUUUAGAGUUUUCAAAAAAUAAUCUAAAUGAAAACUAUAUGACGAUCUACUAUAACUCAACAACUCACCGAUUUUCAUAGAGUUUUUUGAAAGUAAAUAAAAGCAAAAUGAAAUGCCCUAAAAAUUUUGAGAGAGAAAUUUAGGAAAAACACAUCCCUACCUGUACAAUAAAAUCCAACCGUGGGAUCGAAAAUCCGACUCUGUAGAAGUGUUCACCACGUUAAAGAUUAUCAUUGUUUGAAAUUUCAUCAUGAUCAAAGGUCGUUUCACCAUCGGAUCAACAAAAACACACGAUAAAAAACCUUCUCAGCAUCUCCCCUGCAUCCCCCUUUCCCCUCAUUUCUUUCUUUUAAACCUCUCACCACCCAGCAACUCUCCAGCAACUUCAUAAUAUAUAUAUAUAUAUAUACACAUAUAUAUUAUUAAACAAUUUUGAAAUACCACACACAUCCUUUUAUUUUAAUAAAAUAAAUUAUUACUCUUUAUUUCACAUUUCAUAAUUAUAAAAUUAUACUUAACCUGUGAUUUUCCAUUUUACAAAAAAUUCCACCUUAUUCGUAAUUAAAUUUACUACAAGCUUGCUCUUCAAAAAUAUAAAUUAACUUUAAUUAUCCAAAACAUUUUUACUUUGAAAUUCACUUAAAAUAUGAUAUAAUUAACUAUUAACAAAAUUCAAUUUCAUAAAAUAUUAGAAACAUAAAAUAAUUUUUUGGCAACCAAAAAGUUGAAAUAUUUCGUCAUUCAAUUUAUAAAAAAAAAAAAAUCAACUUCUCAGCCCUUUGAUAUAUUUUUUUCAUUUAUUUUAUUAGUCAAUUUUCUCAAUUGCAUCAAACUUUCAAAUGUUAAUUUCACUAAAUUCACAUUUAAUUAAUUUAUCACUAUAUACAUAUAUAUAUAUAUUGAUUAACAUAUCAUAAUUUAAUAUUAAUUUAAUUUCAAUUUAAUUUUGUUUUGAUGUUUUGUAAUUCUAUAAAGUUUAAUUAUAAUUAUAAAAAUUAAAUUCAAUUUCUUUUUAAUUAUCCAUCAUAAUAAUUCGAUAUAAUAUAAAUUUUUACCAAGUUUUUCUUCCUACAUUUCUUUGAUAAUUACCAAAUAAUAAUUAAAUUAAUCCCGUAAUGCACUUAAUAAUUAAAUUUUCAAAACCUAAUCUCAAUUAUUUGUGAUUAAAUUUUUUUCUCCAAAUCAAAAUUUAAUUUAUGAAAUUCCCUAUUCUUACAUCUUACGUGAUAAAAUUUUCAAAUUAUUAAUUUUUAAUAUACUUUUCUAAAAUCUCUCUUAAUUAGAUACUAACACAUGGGUCCUCACCAUUUUUCUUUUUUACCAUUUGACCCACAAUUAUAUGAAACUUUAUAGUCCAAGAAUUUGACGUGCCCUUAAAAAUCCAGGUAUUAGAGUUUGCUCGGACUAUGCUAUGUAUGAAUGAUCUUUUAUGUUUCAUAGGAUCCUCGUCCCUUUUUUUUUUUUUUUAUAGUUCUUGCAUUAACCUGUCCGGAAGUAGGUGUAGCUAUGUCACAAGCUCAACAAAGAUGACGAUAUCUUGGUUUGAAAUUUGCAGCUUGUACAUAAGUCUCAUAAGGAAGCUUGUAAAUUAAGCCAAUGGCUGGGUUCCCUAGCAAAAUGCACGAUGGAAGCUUUAAUUUUAAUUUUUUUUUUUUCGAUUAUUGAGAGUUGGUAACUUAGUACAAGCAGCUGGGAUUGAGAGCUGUUUAUUUUUAAUAUGUGAAACAGAAAUCCAGUUGCAGUAAUGAAUUGAAGUUUUUUUUUUUUUUUUAAUUUUGUUUUUUGUUUGGUUAAUUUGGAGGUUUGUGGGUUGGUUGGUUAUCUAUCAGAAGCCGAACCGUUGAUCUUAAAUUAUGUUUUUAUUUUUCUGAAAUUCUGGGAAUAUCUACAAUUGAUGUGGUUUUUUUUUUCUCUUUUCUUUUUUAAUGCUUGGUGCUGCUGGGUUUGCGUUUUUUUACGGAUGUUUGGGUGGGCAAUAUUGAAAUUCGUGGGAUUAUUUUGAGAAAUUUAGUUUUUUGGUUGAGGAAUUUUUGCUUCUGAAACAACAAGCAUUCGUGUACGGUUUGACCGCUUGAAUUCCCAAUCUUGGGUCUGUGCUUCUCCAGAAAAACCUGUUCAAAUUAUUAAUGGGUUUUAUUUUAUUUUAUGAUUUAAUUUUUUGAAAAUCUUAAAUUAGGUGGAAAGAUCCAUCCCGUACAAUGAGCAUAGGCCAAGGAGGCCCCCACCAGACUUGUCUUUCCUGCUUGUCCAUGGGAGAAUAGUUUACAUCGGCAUGCCAGUAAGUAGUUAAACACAGUAUCUCUAUAUGGAUAUAAUUCUUUUAGGUGGAUAUCAAAACAAUAAGGAAUGGAUUAAGAUAUUCUUGAUGACAAAUAUGAUGCAUAUUUUUCUCCCUUUGGACAGAAUUUAUGCAAUUAUCUGUAAAUUCAACUUAUUUCCUGUUGUUGGGAUGACGAAUCUUGAAUUAGUUGUAAAAUUUAGUGAGAAGAUGUCUCAUCUUGGCCUUGAAGUUUAGUUGCUUACCUGUGGAGAGAAGGAAAUGGAGAAAGCCAUCAAUUUGCAUUAUUUUUCUAGAUCUCUAGUGGACUUGACAAGAACAUCUUGCUUUGGAUUGUGAAGAAGUUAACUAGCUUUCUAUCCCAGUAGCUUAUAUCAAUCAUCUCACAGGAGUGAAGAAACUGAAGCAUAAUGUUUCCUGUAUGGAUUUUCUUCCUUUUCUUCAAGCAUGUGGAUAAUAUAGGGUAAUUUCUGCUUCCCACUUGAUUCAUCACUUGAUUAAAGGAAAAGGACUUUGAAUUCCCAUAGGAACGUCCCUCAUUUACAUGUCUCUAAUUCAUUGCAAAAACUUGGGAGCUUGGGUCAUGAAAUUAUAUAACUAGAGAAAGUAAAGACAAUAGGAUUGGAAAAAUUUAGUAGCAUAGGCUUUUUAAAUAUGAAAAUUGAUACCAUUUUAUAUAAAUAGUGAACAAAAGAUAUACCCCUGGUUGACUCUACCUGAACUAGAGUCUUUUGACGUGAUGAGAUGUGCCCCAUGAACAAGUACCAUGUUAUCUAUUGUAUGGUAUAAAAGUUCCAUAUGGUGGUUUUUACAAGAAUGUUGUAUUGAUUUCUAAUUUUGAGUAACUCUCUAAGUCAAAAUGUCUAAGAAAACAAAAGGGAAAGAAUAUUUUACCAUAGUGGGCUAUUUGAACCAGUGAGAGGAAGCGAAAAUUGAAAAUAAUAUUGACACAAAUUAUGACGAGGGUGGUAGUCUUUACUUUGCCUUUGCAGGUAGUCUUUAUAAACAAAUUCCUCAUUAUUACUUCUUUUUUCUCUAGUUAAUAGUACGCUUAAUUUGCUUCCUUUGCCUUUGUGCUAACACUUCAUCAUUCCAUCUUAUGAUAACAACUUCCUUUAAUUUUAAAGCUAUUUACUACUGCUUUAGCCUCUACCUUCCAGUGAAGCUUCUCAAACAAAAAGUGGCAAGAACAUGUCAUGAAAGCUUUUAUUCCCAAAGAGAAGACCUAAAUGGAAAUAAGAGAAUUAUGCCCUUCUGCUGAGGGUUGGACAUCUUUAUUUAUGAGAAAAACCCAGAGUUUUAGUAUAAAAUCAUAUUCCUUCUGGACUCCUUUAAGUGGGUCUAUUUGUGAGUUUCAUCUUUCUGGAACUUAUAUUUCCUAGAGUCCUAGUCUUCCCUUCUAAUAGUGGUAUGAUAUGACUACUUGGGCCAUUGUGGUUCUAGGUUGUACCCUACUGAUGAAUAUCCCUUUUAGGUGUUGUAGAACAAUUUAAAAAUUCUCCAACAAAGAUUACCUAACCUUAGACUAUCUCAAUGUCAAGAAACUUUUCUUCCAAUAAUUUUUCAACAAAGCAUAAUAUCCACAAGCAAGAAUGUAUACAUCAACACUCUCCCAAUAAUUUAUCAAUGCAAAAUACAUGCAAAUGCUUCAACACUUCUCAAAAAUAAAUCAAAAGAACAAUCAUCUCCUCAACUCAUAACAAUUGACUCCAUGAUAUCAUUAAACAAAGUGAACAGAAGAAUUAUUAAAGACAUUCAAUAGAUCAUCACACUUAAAUCACUUCAUAUUUCUUCCAUUCAACAAGUAUGCCCAAGUAAUCAAUGAUAUCAAAAACAGAAAAUAAAUCAAAGUGUAGAGUGAGAGAAAAAGACAAUGAACACUGAAUUUUUAACGUGGAAAACCUCCGAAUAGAUCAAAAACCAUGGGCCUAUCACCGAUUGAAAAACUCCACUAUGAAGACUAAAAACUGAGUACAAGGUUUUAUCUAGCUCAAGCCAACCAAUCCUUCCCGGACUACUUGACUAGUACCUUCAUUUUCAGCUUCUCACCUUCUUCUUUCGGAGCACACUUGGAGUUCACACGAAGCUCAAUCCCGGCCUCUUCUUGAAUCCACAUAAGAAGAAAAUGGGUAUGUACCUAAACCCAAAUAGAUAAGAGAUUGAAAUGUGAAUGAAGGAAUGAAUCAACCGAUUUAUUGCUUAAGAAAAUCCAUUAAAAACUAGUUUGGAAAACAUUAAAAGAAGUGGAUUUUCUUUGAAAUCAAAAACCCCAAAUUAGGAAAACAAAAUGAGAAAAUGAAGAACACAAGGAGUGUGGCUACUCUCUCCACGUUUUCUGCAGUCACCACCUAGAAAAAUGAGAGAAGAUUGCUUUUUAAAGUGUAAAAAGAAACCCUUAAUCUAAUGACUGAGAUUUGAUAUAUAAAAAAUUAGUUGGAUCGAUCCACCCUUGCACCUAGAUCGAUCCAGAAACAGGGGAAUGAAAGCCUUGCACCAAAAACCAUUUCUUUCAACUUUCUAACACAUUUAAAUAUUAAAAAUCGGGUUGAUUCACAUCUAAUGACCACACACUUGGUUACAUACCUUGGCCUCUUAGCAAAGUUUUAGUUGUCAAAGUCAAGUAGUUUGAAUAGGAAUUGGAAAGCCGAGUUAGGGGACACUUAGGAAUUUUGUCCGGAAUUGUCAACCUAGUUUAACACUCACAAUGUGCAUCAUGUGAUUCAUAAUCUUCAUUAGCUAGCUCCUUCAUGGUUAAUGAAUCCUUCGUCUCAAGCUCCUUUCAACACACAAUCGGGCUGCUCGAUCCUUUAUUAAGCAGAAUUCAAUUUGAAUCAACAUUUCUUCGUCGACUGCAUCUGCCAUUUUGUCAUUUUCUACACACUGGAAAGCUGGAGUUCUGAUAUGCUUUUCACUUUCUGAUGGACUGGUUUCCAAUGAUGAAGAUGGAGAGCCAAAACCCUGCAGUCUUUUCUAAUCUAAAGACAUGCUCUAUGCAUGUCAAUUUCAAUGAGUCACCAAAUGCUCGAUGAUCCGUCGGAUUGCUUUCCUCUUAUUCUUAUAUUACCAGACUAAAUCCUAUACAAACCUUAACCACAAGUUUUCCCACUCCUGAAUGUAAGCUCCAGAUCAUCCAGAAGAUGAUUUAACUCUUGCACAGUUCAGGAUAGAUCAGUGACCGCUUCAACAAGGCCUCCCGCUUAGAAGUCUCCCCAUCCAAGUUCCCGAAACUAUGCAAAUUGCUGAUAUCUUCCUGUAAGCCUAGUUAUAUGAACCUUACUCAAUAGGCCAAGCAAGACUUUGGAGAGCGAAAAUCCAUUGUGGAAGCCUUGGAUGAGGAGAUCAUGGAAGAAAUGAGCAUUGUGUUCAAACUAGGCCUCAUGUGUACUAGCAAAGCACCUUCUGACAGGCCUUCCAUGAGGAGGUAUUGCUAAUUCUUGAUGGAUGUGGUCCUCAGCAUGGUCAUGCUACAUUACAAACGAUCCCACCACUUUUCAUGAAGUUAAAUGUAGUUAUUUAGAAGGUGUGCGUUGUAGAAAUGUAGAUACCAAGCAACCAAUUCUACCUCUCUUGAUAUUGUCUAGCUAACUAUUGAGCUCAUCUCUGGUAAAUGGGAAUGAACAGGAAUCAACGUCUCAUUUCUUUUCUCCUACGAGAAUUGAAACAAAAAUGAAUAUAAUGAAAAUGAAAUCUCAUUUAUAAAUGGGAUUUAAAUUCAUUCGAAGGUAUUUUGAUUCCCUUAUUUUUAUAAAUAUUUUUCAAAUGUUAAAAAGUUAAAGACUUUUUUAGAUAAGCUGAUUUUAAAAAUAAUUGGUUUUGUAAAAAACACAAAUUAUAAAUUUAAUUUAUAUAAUGUUAACUAAAUUUAAUUCACAUCUUAUUAAAAGUACAAAUAAAUUAGAAAUCAAUAGUUUUUAAUAAAAUAUAAAAAUAAAAUAAUAAAUUAUAUAUUUUGAUAAAUAUUAUAAAUAUAUAGAUAUUAACAUUAAUUGAUUUAUUUUGUUAAAAAUAAAGAAUAAUUAUUCAAAAUUAAUAAUUGCUAAUAUUAUUCUAUCUUAAAUAAAAAAAAAAAGAGUUAAUUUUUUAAGUUAUAAAUAAGUCAUUUUUUCAUAAUAUACAUAUGUUUAUUAGUCAAUUACAAAGAUGACAUUUUGAAAUAUUUUAUUUAAUCUAUAAUUAAUUAAUCAGUUUUUUUAAUUUCAAAUUAUUCUUAACAAUUACAAGAUUUAUUAAAGAAUUUAAAGCAUUAAUUAUAUCUAUUAUUUUUUAUAGUCGUUACAUUUUUUUGAGUUUUAAAUUAUUUUCUAAAAUUUUUAAACUUAUUAAUAAGUUCAAUACAAAGUUUGGUUUGGUUUGAAAUUCAUUUUCUCUAAUACAAAAAAUCGAAAGAAUAGUUAUCUAUUUUUACUUUGUUUUUAAAAAUUAUUUCUAAAGAGCAAUAACUAAAUAGUGGUAUAAAUUUUUGAAAGAAUUUUUUUUUUUUAAUUACACGUCCAAAUAGGUUUUUAUUAUUUAGCUAAAAAAAAAAAACUCUCAAGGGUUUUUUAAAUGAAAAUAAAAAACUAUUUCAAACUAUGUACAAUGUGAGUUUUUUAAAAUAAAAAUAAAAUGAAAAAUAUUUUAAAUCAUGUGUACAAAUAUUAUUAACAAUUUAUUUAUUUGUUUAUUUUUAUUCUCAUUUUUACUCAAAAUUGAAAUGGAAAUAAAUCAUCGUUCCAAUCUUAUAUUCCUAUAUGCAUCCAAACGUGAGAAUUAGAAUUACCAAAUUCAUUUUUAUUCAAGUAAGAAUAAGAAUAAAACAAAAUAUUUUUCCUCAUUCUUCAUUCCCACAUACUGAUCGCUUGAUUUUUCGUCGUUUAUUGGAUCAAAACAAAAUUUAUAACAUAAUUCACUAUUCUAGAGUAGCUUGUACCCAAUCAAAAAGUGGUUUUAGUACAAACUACUGUAGUAUAGUGGUUUUUAGGUGUCAUCCACUAGGAUGGAUUAUUCUUGGUAAUUAAGGCUUGAAUGAGAUGAUAAGAAAUGAUUGUGAUCGAGUGAAAUUGAUUUAAAAAUUCAUAGUGAAAAAUCAAUGUAACAAUGGUCUCAAAUUGAGAAGAAAAAUGAAAUACAAAAUAGAAGAAAAUUAAUAGAAAAUGAAAUUAUUGGAAUUAAGAUUUUCUAGAAAACAAUUUCCAUGGUGAAUAGAUGUUGAGAUCUAAUUUUCAUCAAGUUAGAUUAAAAACCUAAAUUUUCAUUCAAAUCGAUUUUUUAUUUAGCUUUAGAUCUAGAUUUAAUUUCUCUUCAAAUUAGGUCAUUUGAUCUAAGAGAUCAUUUCAAAUCAUAUAUUCAAUUCAUCUUAAAUUAUCUUCCAAUUAUUCACAUAAUGCAACUAUUCAAUCUCAUCAAAUCUAACUUUAAGAAUUUAAUGAAUCUAUGUAGUUUGCAUUGUAGAAGUCAUCCAAGACAAUUUGAAGAGAAAAAUUCUCAAAAUUCAAUUAAUUAAUCAAUUGGAUCAAAUUACCUUUGCAAUUCAAGCUCAUUUCUCUAAUUCACCAUAGAUUUUGCCUCUAAAUCCUCCUUCCUCCGAGAAAAAUGAGAUUUAGUCACUCAUGCUUGGAUAUUUGGUCUCACAAGGCAUGUUUGGCUAGCGAGAAAAUGAGAGAAAAUGAAGGAAAGUAGAUAAUUGUCUAGAGAGAGGAAAUCUGAAAAAUUCUACAAUUAGAAAUGUCUAAAAAGUUCUUUAAAUGAGAAAAUCAAGUUUCUAUUUAUAAGUCAAGGUCAAUUGGACACUUGGCAUUAUCUAAGAGGUCUUCCGGAGGUUUUUUCACUAAGAAAUCUGGAGUUUAGUAAUAAAAUGGUCAUUUCGCGCAAGAUCUAGCAAUUUCUCAUGAUUGUGCGAAAUAAAAAAAAUGCAAUAGCACCAAUUUUCGCAUGGUCAUGCGAAAUCAGCUUUGAGAUUUCCCUUUGAUUUGAAACAAAAAAAUGUCUUUUGGUUCAUUUCGCAUGACUAUAUAAAAUUUUUGCAUGAUCAUGCCAAAUGCAAAUACAUAAUUUUUCGCUCCUUUUUAUCAUUUCUUCCAUUUCUUUCUUUUGAAUCCACCUCAAUCACCUCCAAAUCCCGGUCUAAACCAAUUGCAUUACUUCUUUCAUUAUGCAUUUGGAUCUUCAUCAACUUUCUUUGUUCUCUUCAAUUUGAUUCAUCUCUUUUGUCACCAAUUUAUCAAAAUCAUACCUUGAAAUAACUCCAAAACUUCAUAAAACUUAUUAGUAACUCUUGCAAGGACAACAUGUUAAUCGAGUGUUUUAGGCAUAAUUACUACUUAAAAGAUAUGAAACUCAUGAGAAUUAUUAUUUGAAAUAUGCUCUUUUUGAGUAGUAAUCACAUACCAAACACACCUUAGCUUUCAUGGAUCCCCCAUCUAACAAUUACAUAUUUUACUUUAUCUAUUACCAUUUUUCCUAUUGAAAAUUCUCUCUUGUUUACCUAAUCAUUUUUUUCAUAAUUUCAUUUAUUACCUAUGUGUAGGCACCCCUCCACAUGUCAUCACACGUGUCACUUCGAACCAAGCACUGACCGGAUAAAGGGAAAGCAUUGCCUAGGUUCUUCCGUCCAGACCACAAUCAACCCAUCUAGGCAUAGACAGGAAGGCCCUUUCCCUACAUAGUUAGACAGCAGGCACGAUUGGAAUCCCUGAAUGGACGAAACCACUCGAUCAACAUUCAAGGCCCAUUGACCUACGCAAUCAUUCAUAUCUGGCAGGGGAAUGACUGAUGAGACCUCCCUCUACUCUCAAGUCGAUGUUAAUUAAUUACCGCACACAACCCCACACCUCCAACAGGUUAAAGGGACAAGAACUGCCUGAUCAAACAUCAUGCCAUAUCUUCUGAUGGCAUGUGCCAGUCGCCUGAAGCUGUAAUAAUUGCCCUGCCACUUGAAAAUAGUCAUCAUUACAAAGAAUGUUCAGUCAACACUACAAUGGCUUUCUCCUAAGCACUAUAAAAACCCUCCUAAAAGCACAAACAAAGUACGCAGGCACAAGAGCAAGCCUAUUCACUCUCUCUUUUGAGGAGCCUAACCUAUCUUUGUCUGACUUAAGUUUUAGAGGGGCAUGCCUGGACAACUUGUCCAAACAUCCUUUGUGCAAGAAAAAAACUCACCUAGUUUCCCCCAUUGCUAGGUAGAAGCUUUGAGAGGCACAACAUAAGGAGGAUUUGACUCCAGUUGGCCUUACAUCAACACUAUGCAUUUUCAAUGUUCAUAUAUUUUAGGGAUGUACCAUUUGAUAUAUUCAUGUGGGUUAAAGCAUGCAUUUUCUUUUAACCAUGUCAUAUUUUGAAUUAUUUAUUAUAUAACCAUCAUUAUAUUCAUUUAGGAGAAGUUAUUUUGUGAUGGGAUAUAUUUUCUGCUUUUUAUUUUAAAAAUUAGAAACCCCUAUGUACUCUCUUUAUCUUUCUUUGACACUUGAAUUUUUUAAGUUUUUAGGAGCUUCAAAAAUGUUAUAUGCACACCUUCCAUAUAAUCUCUCAAGAGUAAAGUGGAUAUUUAAAAAGACACAAAAGCAACUUCAUAGAUGAGUAUGUAUACAACAACUUAUGACUUAAUUAAGAGAGGGUGUUGCUAUGAGAAAAGACAUAUUCAAGCUUAUCACUUGAAAAGGCUUUAAAGAGGAUAUUCGAUAGAGGAUAAAGGAUUUGUAGACGUUUGGUUGGCUAAAAUGUGUCAACACAUUAUAUGUAUACCUUUUGGAGUUAAACUAGUCGUUAAACAUGAGUUCCCUGAUAGAUCAAACUUGAGGUUAACCAAGUGACUAGUCAUUAGAGUAUCAAAUACCUUAUAAUUUACAAGUAACUGUUGGAGGAAAAACUACUAAUAAGGUGAACCACAUGUCAACCAAGUAGCUUUUUUAUUUUUAUUAUUUUUCAUGUUUUCAAGUUUUCAACCAAAAAAAAUAAGUAAUAGGUCAACCACAUGUCCAUUGGUUCUAUUUUGUCACUACCUAAGCUUUAUUAAAGGAACUUUUCAGUAUCCUAAAGUCCCUUAAAUUAUGAAGCCAACUUUUGAGGACUUCAACCAAGUUUUAAGCAUAAUUUUCAAGUAAAAAAUAUCUUAAUUUAAUCUUUUAAUCUUUUAAGAACCUUAGAGUAUUAUACAUCAAAAAUGAGGUUCAUGGUGGUAUCAAAACUAGGAUUACCUAAUUUUUAAGCCAAUAGUUCAUAAUAUUUAAGAUGCCUUCUCAAACAAGGUUUUAGUUCCACCCCUUUAAAACUAAAGUUGAGAUAGUCUUUUCAAGAAAAAUAAUGUUUCAUACUUCAAUAAAGGAAUGUCUUGUACCGAUAUUCUUUUUUCCUCUAUUCUUCCUUACCUUCAUUCUUAUAAAGCAAACUGAUCUUUCCAAAUGAAACCCUAACUUUAAUUUUUAAGAAACUUAAAAUUUAUCUUAAAGUACAAAAAGGUGAUAACAACAAUGAGAGCGUUGCACUUGUAUGGAAUAAAUGGACAAUCAUAAGGAAAAUUUUAAAAUAAAAAAUAAAAAAUGGUCUUCUCUUUCUUAUUUCUUCCUAAAAUUUUUCUACUAAUUUUUUUAUACAAAGAAGCAUACCUUUAACCACAAAUUAUUCAAAUUUUCAAGCAAACCCUAAUCCUCAAAUCAUCAAAAUCAUUAAAAUAAAUAAAUAAAUAAAAUGUUAUAUAAAAACCCUAAGCUCACUUUUUGCUCUUAUAAUCAUCCAAUCAUCUUAUCUUUUUUGUCAUAAGAUAGCAAAAUGUAGGCUUUGUUUGGUUAUCAGAGAAUUUGAGAGAAAAUAUAAGGAAAAGAAAAAGAAAUGAAAUGAAAGAAAAUAAAAAAAUUAAAUCAAUAAAUUAUUUUUAUAUAUUUUUUCAAACUCAUUUAACUUAUUCUAAUUUUUCAAUUAUAAAAUUAAAUAAUUUGAAAAUAUAUAAAUUUCUAACUAAUUUUAAUUAUAUUUUAUUUUCUUUUAUAAUUUUCAUAUAUAGUAUAAUCAAAUACCAAUGUUUUCCAAACCGAACCGAUGCUUGAACCGGAAAAGUUACCAAUUCACAAUUCAUGGUUCACUGAUCGGACUGGUGGUCAAACUGCGGUCGAACUAAUAAUGUCAUAAAUAAUAAUUUUUUUCUUUCUUCUCACUAACUAAUCCCACAUCGGAAAUGGAUCUCAAAUAUGUAGGGAUUGUGGUAUAAAAGGCAUGAUAGAAUCAUUAACUUGCAGGACUAAAAUCUUAUUGGGCUUGAUGACAAAUGGGUUGGAUGGGCUCCUCAUGGAGUGAUCCCAUUCUCUUAGGGCAUCAAAACUUUUUGUUUUUUUUUGCUUCAAAAAAAAAAAAAGAAAAAGAAUUGUUCAAUUCGCUAAGAAUCGCCCAAUUCAGGUGAUUCGUUGGUUCAACUGUUGGUUUGUCCAAUUCACCAAUGGUUCGAUGCCCAAACGGUUUUCUGGGUGAACCGGAUUAGUUUUGUUACUAGUCAGACCAACCGGUCCAAUCCGAUAUUUAAAUCAUUACCAAAUACAAUAAAAUAUUUUUUCUUAAUAUUUUUUUUUCUUUUUUUAGUACUUCUCAAGAACCAAACAUAACCAUAAGACUAAUCAUAUUUUUUAUUAUAAGCUCAUUCGGAUACAAUGCCCCAUGUGAGAAUCCCAAAACGUUUUUCAAUGUUUUAUCAAUAUUAAGAUUUUGAAAAUCUAUGGAAAUUAUUAUUUUCUUUUUUCUUUUUUCUUUAUUUGGAUGAUAGAGCAUGAUUAUACAAGAAAGGUCAAUGCAAAGAUCAAUAUCUACAAUCUUGGAGUUGCACUUCUAGAGCUGGGCCCUAAAAGAGAACCCAAUAGGGGAAAGGGGCAACAUAUAAACCUUGUUCAAUGGGCAUGGCAGCACAUUGGAGAAGGAAAGUCAUUUGUGAAAGCAUUGGAUGAGGAGAUCAUGGCACAAUGCUACUUCAAAAAAAUGAGUACUAUAUUCCCAACAAUCAAACUUUAUCAUGAAAAUUUUGAUAAUAGUGAGGAUUCUCUUAUCUACGAGUAUAGAGACAAAUAGGUAAAAGGUAAAUAAAUUAUUAAUAGAGCUUAAAAUAAUAAAUUGAACAAAUAAACAUAUGGUAAGAUUGGAACUCAUUAUCCUCCUACUAAAUAAAGUUCUAAUACCAUAUUGGAUAACUAAAUUUUUUAAGAACUUAAACUUAAGAUUUGGAUCCUUAUGAUUGUGUAUCACACUUUCUAAUAAUAUAUCAAAUACUUUCCUAGAUUCCGUAAAUACCAAAAAUGAUAUUUGUUUUGGGAACAAGACUAGAGUUUUGAGUGGAUAUAAUAUAUUUUAAAAAAUGCACAAAAUAGAUUCUCAAGUAAAAUAAUUCCCAAGCUAGCACAUUUUAGCUACAUGGGCAUCCAUAUGGCUAGAGUUUUUUUUUAUGUUGUUUUAACUACGAUUUUGAAUUUUUUAAACAUAAAAUGAUAGUUAGAGAUUAUAGUUUUAAAUUUAUUUUUAAAAUCAUAGUCAUCAAUUAUGGUUUUGAGCUUAAAUUUAAAAUCUUAGUUGGUAACUAUUGUUUUAACCAUUUUCCAAUCAAAUCAAAAUUAUAGUUCACAACUAUGAUCAUGUGAUAUAGAUACACAUGUCAAUGAAACACUCCAAUUUGAAAAUUAUUUUGAGAAGGGAGCUACUUUGUAGAUUUUUAUUUUUUCAAAUAAAUUAUUUUUCCUCAAACCUUAGAAAGCUAACUUGUUUAGAACUAAAUUCAAUUAUACACUUUCCUAAUUUUUCUUUUUAUAAGAUCAAAUCCAUGUUCACUUUUCCUCUAGAAUCCUCAUGAUUACUUGUAGAAUUCUUGAGAUGAAAUGGAAGUGUGGUAUGAGAUGCAUGCUUGUUUAAACUUCAGUUUCAAUCUUGAUCAAUGCUGUCCAUUUCCUUAGCUGUGCAGGAUGUGGAACCACUGCUGGAUCCUGUUGUGAGACUUGACCAUCAAUAUCCUUCUCUCCAUUUGUGGGGUCCUGCCCACUUAAUCACUACUUUAGAAAUUUGACCAACACCCAAAUUCUCAACAGCCCAAAAAUAUUUUUAUUAAAGAGAAAGAUAAUUAUAAUAUUUCUGAAAUUUUUAGUUAAAUAGAAAAUUUGUUUCCCAAGCUGAUUAUGGUUACUUCUCAAUAACACAAAUAAAUGAUAUGAAGCAUAAAAUAGAAAGUUACAAAGGUUUUUAUUCUUUGAGUUGUUUGCACUUUGUACUGCUAUUUUUAUCAUUUACCAAUGUAAUUAAUUAAUGGUGAUUAAAUGUUUAAAAAAAUUGUACUUAAUGCAUAUUUUUAUGAUGACGAAGACUUGCAAAAGCAACCUUAGGAAUUGGUCUGGACCAUUUUUUUGAUAAGCUUCAUGGAAUUUUAAGAUGGAGAAUGCUACUUCCACUUUCUUUAACCAAGCGUGCCAAACGCGUUCUCUCUAAUUUUUCUAUAUUCUUAACUAAAAAAUUAGAAUAUAGAAAUAACAAAUUACCAUCCAAUAGGCCCACAAUGAAAGAGGUUUUGAAAAUUCUUCAACAGUGCAGUCCUCAAGAGGGCCAUGGACGAAAGAAAAAGGACCAUGAAGUUGCACCUCCACUUCGAAAUGACACUUACCCCGCCACUUACAAGUUAUGAGGAUAGAGCCCUUAAAAACAUGAUAUGAUGUAAUAGAUUUAGAAUUCAUUAUUUAUUUAAUGAUGUUCUGAUUUCACUUUUAUUUAUCCUUAUUACAUGUAUUAUACUUUAUGAGCAUUCUUGUCUGCAUAUUUUGCAUUGCACGUAACUUAGGUGCAUUAGAAGUUGCACAGAAGAUCUAGGUCAUGGGUUCCUUGCAAGUAGAUGACUUGUUCACAACCAGUUCAUGGGUUUAGGAAGCCCAUUAGAGGUUGUAGUUAACUACUUCCUAAUUGGAAGAAUGGCUAGUCUUAGCUAUUGGGAUGAGUUUCUCAUGGUGAAUGCAUUAGUGUGUAUGAUUACACAUUGGACAUGACUUAUGGUGAGUCAUGACUUAAGGCUAUCAAGCAGUCAUAACCUCACCAAGCUACUUCAUUGUGUUGUUUCCCAACCUUGAGAGAAUAUCGAGUUUAUACUAAAGUUAGCAAUGACUUUAACAUACGUGUGAGAUCGUAAAUUGAUCAUAUAUUCCCUAUGAAUUGAGUCACUAUUGAUGGAAGAUGGUAGCAAUAGGUAUUUUCAAUAAAAACCAUGAUAUCUCUUGGGAUUAAGACAAUAUGCCUCUUUUGGUGAUUCUAAAGAGGUGUGUUCAUGGAAACUAUGGUCAUAGUAGUUCCUUAAGUAAAACUCGAUAUAGGCUCUUUGAGAGCUAAGACAUGUCAAUUGAAUACACAAUAGGAGGAUUUAUAACUCAAGGAUGGUAGAGGUAGUCUUGAAAAACUAAUAACUUUCACUUUGUUAGACUAUGAAUAUCAAUUCAUGGGGAAACUAAACACAAUAAAUAGCAAGUCACGAACCCGAACAUUUGGUAUCUCAUUGUUAUUUUCAAUAAAAUAACAACGAGAUGGUAAGUUAAUCAUAUAUUCCUAAGGAAGUGUGUUCAUACAAACUAUGACCAUAAUAGUUCCUUAAGUGGAACUUGACAUAAACUCUUUGAGAGCUAAGACAUGUCAAUUAAAUACAUAAUAGGACGAUCUGUUAUUAAAAUAAGGAAGGAAGAAGAUUAAAAGAAAAUUUAAACUUUUUUAUCUUAGAAUAUCAAAAAAGAAUAAACUUUAAAAUGCUUUUUAAUACAAAAGAAAACAAAAUAGUGAAUAUAUUUAUUUUAAAUAGUAUUUUAAUCAUUAAAUUAUUUACUUUUAAAAUAUAAAAAAUAGUUUUUAUUAAUUUAAAUUAACAUAUUUUUUUAGAAAAUAUUUUUCAAAAUACUUUUUGAAUCAUUAAUAUAAUUUUUGUUUAUUUAUAAUUUAAUAAUAAAAAAUCUAAAAAUGGUUAAAUAAGGGAGAAUUUGCUUGAGGUGGUAUGUGAAGAGUAAUGUUUUAAAAACCGGAUCGGACCGACCGGUGUCCGGUUCCACCAACCAAACAGUUCUAAGUUAACCCCUGAUUUUGCAAACAUGGAAGGGUGUUCCAUUGGAUUUAAAUGUUUUGGGCUAAAGCCCACACCCAUCUCCACAAUUUUAUGAGCUGAGUCUUGAGCCCAUGUGAUGAUGGCUUUUAUAGGCAUUCUUUGUAGCCUAUUUCCUCUCACAAAUAGUUGUGGGAUUGCUAACUUAUCAAAGAAACAAAUAUAACAAGCCUCUCCACCACCAAGAGGGCUUGAACCUUGCACCUCAGGUUCUACCAUCAGAAUAUGACACCACUUGGCUACAUGCAGUUUGUUAUCUAACAUGCCAAACAAAACAAUAUACGUUAGAUUUUAACAUUUUUUAUAAUAUUAAAUAAAAAUAAUAUAAUAUUUUAAAAAAUUAUAAAAUUAGUUUAAAUUUUUAUUUUUAAUAUAUUCACAUUUAAAUAUUAUACACAUUUCAUUUAAAAUAUUAAUAUGAUUUAAUUUGAUAAUAUCAAAGAUAUAAAAUAAUAUUAUUGAUUUUUAAUUUAUUCAUAUAUAUUUUAAAAAAAAUUAAUUAUUUUUAAUUUUAAUAAUAUAUAAAUGACAUAUUUAUGACGUCACCGGUUCGACCACCGAUCCAACCAAUGAACCGGUAACUUUUUUGGUUCGAUGACCGGUCCGAUUUUGAAAACAUUGGUGAAGAGUGAGGGAUAAAGAAAAAAAUGAUGGCCCACAAACACCACAUGACCUUUGAUGUGAUAAAUGAAAAUGGGUAUGUUAGUCCCAUACUAUUGCCAUCCAACAGGUCCGCGAGUUUUUUUCUAGUCAAUGGACAUUUUCCACUUUCAUUUCGGAUUCCACGCAGACUUGCGAAGGCAACCUUACAAUUAUUGGUGGACGCAUUUUCCUGAUAAGCUUCGUGGAAUCUUUAAGACGAAGGAGGAUGCUACUGUCCACAUUCUUUAACCGAGCGAGCUAAACACGCUCUCUAAGUUUUCUAUAUUCUUAAUUUCUAAUGUUAUAUAUAUAUAUAAUAUUUUUUAAAUGUAAUAAUUAAAAAAUGAUUUUAAUUUAUCAUAAUUUUAAGAGUCAAAUAAUAAAAAAUUAUUUUUAAAAGAUAAAAAAUCAUUUAAAAAAAAAGAAGAAAAUUUCAACAUUUUAUAUCCAUUUAAAAAUUAUCUUUUAAAACAACUUUGGAUUGAUAUUUUAUAAAUUAUUAUAAAUUUUAAAAUAUUUUUUCAAUUGUUAUUCAUUAAAUUAUUUUUAGAAACUACCAUAUAUAUUUUUUUUUUGUCUCAUUCUAGUUUAAAAACGGAAGGAAGGGUAAGAUGCGGGCUUAAAUUUUAUGGUCCCAUUAAAAUAUAAAAAUAAAUAUCAAUAAUAAGAUGGUUUCAUGCAUAUUUUCUUUAUUCUUUUAUUCAUACUAUAAUUUUAUUUAUUUAUACUGGCUUUGUUAGUACGUUGGAUGACCAGAAUUUCAUGAUACCUUUUAUAUAUUACUAAUGGCAGUGAGGUGAUGGAAUAGACCUAUAUCAUGGGUCUAUUCAACUUUAUUAAAGUUUGGAUUCUUUCAAAGUUAGAUAAAAAUUCGUAUUAUUCCUACCACUUUGACCCAUGAUAAAAAAUUUAUAAUACAUAAAGAAAAACCUUUUUUUAUUAUUAUUAUCUUUUUUAACAUUCGGUUGUUAGACCUUCAAAACAAUGAACUAAAAAGAUGCAACCAAGUCCAAGUUAAAAUAAAGAAUAAAGAACUCAAACAUCUUAUAACACAUACUUGAUAUAAAAAGGUAAAAUAUAUAUAUAUAUAUAUUUAAAAAAAAAAUAGUUCAUGCUUUUGUGUGAAACAAAGUACUAUUAUUUUUAUAUUAUUUUAUUGUCCAUAAAGUAAUAUAAAUAAUUUUAAUGGUUUGAAUGCCCUCCAGUUUUUAACAUAAGAAUCCCUUACACAUAUAUGAACCAAAAAAGGACCAAUCAUACCAUACCAUAUGACAUAAACAUUUUAGGUUUUAUUACUUUGUACAUGAAUCUAAUUUCAUUAUUUUAUAUAUUAAUAUCAUUUAUUUGUAUUUGAUUUUAUCUAUUUAUACUUUGAUCCCAAAUAUUAGUAUUUACAUUCACUUAAAUUUUAUCGUACAUUUUCAAUGAUAAAAAUAAAUGUUGAUUUAAUACCUAAACUUUUUCUAACAUUAAAGUAAAUAUGAUUUCAUGAAUUUCACAUUUUCUAUUAUCUUGACCUAAAUGCAAUGGGGUUGAUCACUUUUUUCUCAUUCCAUAAUUCGAUCCAGUGAAGAUGAUUUGGUCACCAACCAUUUACUAAGUUGUGACACCCAUUUUCUACACCAACUCAAACACUCCACUUUUGUUAAUAACUUUUAGCCAAUAUAAAGAAAUGAACAUACCAUUUGAUAUAUUCACAUGGAUUAAAGCAUGCAUUUUCUUUUAAUGAUGUCAUAUUUUGAAUUAUUUUAAAUAUUAACAUCAUUACAUUCAUUUAAAAGAAGUUAUUUUAUGAUGGGAUAUACUUUUUACUUUUUAUUUUUAAAAUUGAAACCGUUAUAUACUCUCUUUAUCUUUCUUUUACACUUGAAUUCUUUAAGGUUUUAGGAGCUUCAAAAAUAUUAUAUGCACACCUUCCACAUAAUCUCUAGAGCAUAAAGUGGUUGUACAAUAGGUACAAAAAGCAACUAGCAUGUAGACAAUUUAUGACUUAAGAGAAGGUAUUGUUACGACAAAAGACAUAUUCAAGCUUAUUAUUUGAAAAGGCUUUAAAGAGGAUAUUCAAUGGAGAAUAAAUGAUUUUUCAAGGUUUUUAACUAAUUUUAAUUAUAUUUGAUUUUUUUUUCAUGUUUUUCAUAUACAUGUAUAAUCAAAUGAGAGAAAAUAAUUUUUUUUAAUAUUUUUUUAUUUCCUUAGUAUUUUUCAAGAACUAAACAUAAUUAUAAGAUUAGUCAUAUUUAUUAUUAUAAGCUCCUUGGGUAAAUUUCCCUUCAAUGAUUAUCCUAAAACGUUUUUACAUGUUUUAUCAUUAUUAUGAUUUUGAAAAUCUAUAGAAAUUCAUGGUUUUUAUAACUUAUUUAGAUGACAGAAUAUGAUUAUACAAGAAAGGCCAAUGAGAAGAUCGAUGUCUACCAUUUGAAGUUGCACUUCUAGAGUUAGCUACUAUAAGAGACCUAGGGGGAAGGGGCAGGAUAUGAACCUUGCUCAAUGGGCAUGGCAGCACCUUGGAGGAGGAAAGUCGACUGUGAAAGCAUUGGAUUGAGGAGAUCAUGGCACUACGCUCCUUAGAAGAAACGAGCACUGUGUUCAAACUCUUUGGCUGCCACCAGAUAAACUCAUUUUCAUUGCCUACUUUGCCUUCUUAUCUAAUACUAUCAUAUGCCUUUAAUGCCUUCUUUAUACAAUUUUGCGUGCAUGAACCAGAAAGCCUAUUGGUGGGCAAGGAGUGUUGCUCUCUCUUAGAAACCAAGAUUGGUUCUAUAAUGAAAAUACCGUCUUCCGAGGGCAUAUGAAACAAGAAGAUAAUUCUAAUAAUCAAAGCUUAAUCAUGAAAGUCUUCAUCAUAGUGAGAAUUCCCUUAUCUAAAAGCGCAAAGACAGAUAGACCUUUAGCAAAAUAAAUUAUGAAUAAGUUAAUUUGAGCUUAAAAUAAUAAAUAGAGCAAAUAAACAUGUAAUAAAGUUGGAACUCAUGACCCUCCUACUAAAUGAAGUUCUAAUAUUAUAUUGGAUAAUUAAUUUUUUUAAAAACUUCAACUUAAGAUUUGCAUCACCAUGAAUGUUGUGUCAUGCUUUCUAAUAAUAUAUCACAUAUUUUUCUAGAUUUUAUGUUAGACCUGUGAUUACUUCUCUAAAUCAAAUUUUGAGCACAUUGUAUAUAUGUACUUGUUAGGAUGAAUCAAUUAUCAAUGAAUGAAGAAAUACAACUCCUCGUAGAGUCUCUUUGCUUAUUUCCUCUACAACUUGAUUAGUUGAACUUAAAAGAACUCCUGAGUGCUUUCACAAAAUGUUUUGAACUUCAAACCUACACAAAGAUGGAAACCAUAUUGUUGAGGUCUCACGUCCCUGGUGACCCACGUAGUUGCCAAAUGGAUGGACGCACGAUCUCAACCAAUAUAGAUUCCUAGUUCAGUGGUUCCUGCAAAAGGCGUCCGGACAGGGUGUCCGGACACACCCUUUGAUGGUUUUGUCAGCCAUGGUAAGAGAGAUAAAUCAGUUGGUCUUUUUCUAGGUAUAACAAGCUUACCUUCCUCUUUGUGUGAAGGUUCAUAUAUAUAGUACCAGAAGCUCUGUUUCCCUCUUUAAUGGUAGGGAGAUAUUUUGGCUUGUCAUGAUGCCACUAGGUGGUGGCAGGGCCAUCAUCACCCUACGGGCGGCUGACAGAGAUUGUGGGAGGUGCCGCGGCUGUCAAAGAUCGUGGGAAGUGACUUGCCAUCACUUCAUUCCUGUCCUUUCACUCUGCAUGUGGCGGAAUGUGGGCCAUGGCAGACUGUUGUGAUAACAUGCAAGACUUGCUUACUUCAGUCAAUGAUCCGGACAAACAUAUCCGGAUAGUAUAUGUCGGUCGUCCGGAUGCGAUGUGGCGUUCGUCCGGAUGUUAUAUUUGUGAGUGUUGUGUGUCUCUCCUUGAGGGAGUCUGGAUAGGAGAGGCGCGCCACGUGUACUCUUAGGGAAAUCCGGAUGGGAUUAAUCCGGAUAGAAAUGUAUGCCACGUGUCACCAGGAAGUGUGUGCCACAUGUCAUCAGGGGGAGGGGUCCCUACAAUGAUAGAUUCCUGGUUCAGUGGUUCCUGCAAAAGGCGUCCGAACACACCCUCCAAUGGUUUUGUCAGCCAUGGUAAGAGAGAUAAAUCAGUUGGUCUUUUUCUAGGUAUAGCAAGCUUACCUUCCUCUUUGUGUGAAGGUUCAUAUAUAUAGUACCAGAAGCUCUGUUUCCCUCUUUAAUGGUAGGGAGAUAUUUUGGCUUGUCAUGAUACCACUAGGUGGUGGCAGGGUCAUCAUCACCCUACAAGCGGCUGACAGAGAUCGUAGGAGGCGUCGCGGCUGUCAGAGAUCGUGGGAAGUGACUUGCCGUCACUUCAUUCUUGUCCUUUCACUUUGUAGGUGGCGGAACGUGGGCCAUGGUAAGCUGUUGUGGUGACGUGCAAGACUUGCUUACUUCAGUCAAUGAUCCGGACAAACAUAUCCGGAGAGUAUAUGUCGGUCGUCCGGAUGCGAUGUGGUGGUCGUCCGGAUGUUAUGUUUGUGAGUAUUGUGUGCCUCUCCUUGAGGAAGUCCGGAUAGGAGAGGCGCGCCACGUGUACUCUUGGGGAAAUCCGGAUUGGAUUAAUCCAGACAGAAAUGUGUGUCACGUGUCACCAAGAAGUGUGUGCCACGUGUCAUCAGGGGGAGAGGUCCCUACACAUAUCAUUGAAAUAAUUAAAUAGAUCAACUGAAAUCAAAGUGCUAUUGUCUUAUUUAAAAAAAAAAUUACAAAAAAAAAAAAAAAUCAUGGGCUUUAUGCAAAAACGAUAGUUGCGCAAAACUCCUUCUUUGGAAUACUAGAUUGGUGUCAUGUAUCAUUUCACUUGGCACCUUCUUCCAUAACUAUCAAAAAUGAUAUUUGUUUAUGAGGAAAACAAGAGUUUUGGGCAAAUAUAAUAUAUUUGAAAAAUAAAUUCAUAAAAUAGAUCUUCAGCCAAAAUAAUUUUCAAGUUAGUGCAUUUUAACUACUUGGACAUCUAAAUAGUCUUAGAAUGUUUUAUUUUUUUUGAAGUAUAAAUUUAAAACCGUAGUUGGUAAUUAUAAUUUUAACCAUUUAAAAAAAGUAAAGUUUCUAAGUUAGUACAUUUCAACAUGAACAUCCACGUGGCUUGAGAAUAAUUUUUUUUUAAAAUGUUUUUUGCAUCACAAAAUUGUAAUUAGUAACUAUUGUUUUGAAUUUUUUUAAACAUAAAACCAUAAUUGGAGACUCUAAUUUUAAAUUUAUCUUUAAAAUUCAUAGUUGAUGAUCGUAGUUAUCGACUAUAGUUUAAAUUUAAAUUUAAAACCAUAAUUGAUAACUAUUAUUUUAACCAUUUAAAAAACAUCAAAAUUAUAGUUAAGUAUGGUUUGUGACAUGGAUACACAUGUAGAUAAGACACUCUAGUUUGAAAAUUAUUUUGAAAGGGACCUACUUUGUAGAAUUUUAUUUUUGCAAAUAAAUCAUUUUUCCUCAAAACUCAAAACUAACAUGUUUAGAAAUAAAUUCAAUUAUACACUUUCCUAUUUUUCUUUUCCCUAAUAUAAGACCAAGUCCAUGUUAUCACUUUUCCACUAGAAUAUUCCUCACUGAUAUCACUUUUCCACUAGAAUAUUUCUCACUGUCCAUUCCCUUAGCUGUGCAUUAUUCCAAGGCCAGUUUUCUAGCUACCAUAAUUUAGUCCAGGAUGUGGAACAACUGCUGGAUCAUGCUGGAUCCUUUUGUGAGACUUGACCAUCAAUAUCCUUCUCUCCAUUUGUGGGGUCCUGCCCACUUAAUCACUACUUUGGAAAUUUCGCUAACACCCAAAUUCUCAACAACCCAAAGCCACAGACUUCUGCAUCCUUCCAUCCAUCUUUCUUUAAGUAAAAUAGACACCCAUUUGGUCUUUGUUCGUCAUUUGUUUCACUUUCUCCCAAGAAUACUAAUCUUGUCUGACUGAUUAGUUUCAUCAGAGAUUUUUCAAGAAAAAGAAUAUCACAUUUUAUAUUUGAAAAAAAAAAAAGUAUUGAAUAUAUUAGCAAGAUAUCAUCCUCGAAAAGUUACGGUAGUUGACCGGCAUAGAAAAAAGAAUAAGUGAAUGGGGAUGACAACGGAGCGGGUUUUUUUGGGUACUCGUCCUUAAUGAAACGGAGUUUAAAUUUAAUAAACGAGUUUGAGAUGAGUAUGAAUUUUUUUUUUAAACCCGGGACAGGUUCGGGUAUUGCCCCAUCCCGUCCCGUCCCGAUUACAUAUAAAAUUAAUUUUAAAAUUAAUUUAAUUUAAAAUUUUAUUUUAUUAUUUUUAAUAUAUAGAUAAUAAUAAAAAAAUUUAAUAAAAUAAAUUAUAAAAUAUAUAAUAAUUUUAUUAUUUAUAAAAUAUAUUUAUUUUAAUGUAAUUAAAAAAUUUAAAAGUAAUUUUUAAAUAAAUAAAAAACUAAAUAGGGUGGGACGGGCCCAUAUCCGCCUCGUUUAAUUUUUUAAAUGGGACAAAAAUAAGAAUUAUUUUUAAUAAAUAGGACAGGAUUGGGAUGGAGUGACCCGUCCUGAAACCCUUCCGUUGGCAUUCCGACGAUUUUGGAAUUUUUGUUUAUGUUACUUUGCAUUGUUCUUAGAUUUCCCCUUUCCAAUAAAAGCCUGACAUUAUAUGUAUAGAAUUCCGUAUAAUCCAAUCAUUGCUUCGGUGGUUCGUGUAUACCACGGGAAUUAGGAUAAGUCUCCUCUUUUGACGAGUCAAUGCCCUUUCGCAUUCAUUUAUAAUUGUUUGGAUUACAUGAAAGACUAUAAAAGCAACCUGGCCCCAUUUUGUUGACGGAAGCUGCCACUUCCAAACACACUUACUGAUUUUUGGUUAUUUGUUUAUUCUGUUUUCUGUUUUUGAUUUUUAAAGAAAAUAAAAAUCAAGUUUAAAAACAUGUUUAGAUUUUUUUUUUUUUUUUAAUUUUGAGUACAAAAAUGGUAAGAAAUAAAAAUAUUAAUUUGGUGUUUUUAAAAUUUUCCUAUGACAAUGUUUUCCUUCAACUUAAAAAUAGAAAAAUUAUCUUUAGAAUUAAUUAUAAAAUUAUAUAUAUAUAUAUAUUUGAUAUAUUAUUUUAAAAUAAAAACAUAAUCAAAUACAGAACAAUAAAGCAAAACAAUUAUGUGUGACCGGGUCAGUGUCCAUGUCCAAUCUCCGCUACUCUAAAUCGUACCAUGCCCACAUCAAGCUUUCAUUGAGUCAUUCCAUGUUCAAACCAUAACCCACGGCAAGACUGACCCAGAAAAUUUUGCCCCAUCCCGUCCCACACGAUUACAUAUAAAAUUAAUUUUAAAAUUGAAUUUAAUUUAAAAUUUAAAAUUAAUUUAAUUUAAAAUUUUAUUUUAUUAUUUUUAAUAUAUAAAUGAUAAUAAUAAAAUUUUAAUAAAAUAAAUUAUAAAAAAUAUAAUAAUUUUAUUAUUUAUAAAAUAUAUAUUUUUAAUAUAAUUAAAAAAUUUAAAAAUAAUUUAAAAAAAAAAACUAAAUAGGACGGGAUAGGACGGGUACGAGAAUUUUAAACGGGAUUGAAAUGAAAAUUAUUUUUAAUAAAUGAGACGGGAUUGGAAUGGAAACGAUCCGUUGGAACCGCCCGUUGGCAUUCCGAUAAUUUUGGAAUGUUUGUUUAUGUUACUUUGCAUUGUUCUUAGAUUUCCCCUUUCCAAUAAAAGCCUGACAUUAUAUGUAUAGAAUUCCGUACAAUCCAAUCAUUGCUUCGCUGGUUCGUGUAUACCACGGGAAUAAGGAUAAGUCUCCUCUUUUGACGAGUCAAUGCCCUUUCGCAUUCAUUUAUAAUUGUUUGGAUUAUAUGAAAGACUAUAAAAGCAACCUGAGUCAAUACCCUUUCGCAUUCAUUUAUAAUUGUUUGGAUUAUAUGAAAGACCAUAAAAGCAACCUGGCCCCAUUUUGUUGACGCCUUGACGGAAGCUGCCACUUCCAAACACACUUACUGAUUUUUGGUUAUUUGUUUAUUCUGUUUUCUGUUUUUGAUUUUUAAAGAAAAUAAAAAUCAAGUUUAAAAACAUGUUUAGAUAUUUUUUUUAAAAAUUUUGAGUUCAAAAAUGAUAAGAAAUAAAAAUAUUAAUUUGGUGUUUUUAAAAUUUUCCUAUGACAAUGUUUUCCUUCAACUUAAAAAUAGAAAAAUUAUCUUUAGAAUUAAUUAUAAAAUUGUAUAUAUAUAUAUAUAUAUAUAUAUAUAUAUUAUUUUAAAAUAAAAACAUAAUCAAAUACAGAACAAUAAAAUAAAACAAUUAUGUGUGACCGGUCAGUGUCCAUGUCCAAUCUCCACUACUUUAAAUCAUUGAGUCAUUCCAUGUUCAUACCAUAAUCCACGGCAAGACGACCAAGAAAAUUUUGCAAGCGUCGACUUCUUCUUCUGAUUUUUACUGGCUGUCAGGAUACAAACCUUUAUCGAGGAAAAAGACUGCAUGCCUCUUUAGGCUUCUUCAAUUUUUUUUUUAUAAAUAUUUUUAUAAAAAAAUGAAUUAAUUUUCAAAUUCAACUUAUAUGAUAUAAUAAUAUAGUAUAAUAUAAUAUAUAAUAUUAAUAAAUAAUAAUAAAUAAAAUAGUUAUAUAUUAUUAUUAUAUAUUAUAUAUAUUAUAUUUUAUAUAGAGGAUGUUCGAUAAAUCAAUUUUAUGAUUUAAAGUGAUUUAAUAACUUAAUUUAAAUUAUUAAAUAAAUUAAAUAUUUUAUAAAAUAUCAUAAUAUUUAAAAUGAUUUUAAAUAUUAAAUCAAAAUAAUUAAUUUAUUUUUAAUCUGAAAUCAUUUUUAUUAGAUUUUAUUUUUUAGUAUAAGUUUACUCGAUUAAUGAAUUAAAUUUUUGAAAUUAUUUAAAAUAAUUAUAAAAUAUUUACUUUAUAAAAAAUGAGUCAUACAUAUUAUAAAGAUUGUUAUUACAUAUUUGGAGUGAUCUGAGAUUCAUAAUAAAUUUAGCAUUUUAAUUUAAUAUUUAAAUAUUAUUUUUAAUUUUAAAUUAUGAUAUUAAAUUAUUUUAUUAAAUGUAUUUAAUAACUUACAUUGAAUUAUUAAAUCAUUAUAUUAAUUUAUCACACACCUCCUAAAAAUCCUUUUUUCUAGUAUACCAAAAAUAAGACCAAUAAAAUCAUAUCAUUAGGUCUCAAUUUUUUUUUACGUUCCAUUUAUUUAUAUUUUAAUAAUAUAUGUUUGGAUCGUCGUGAAAUGACGUAGAUUUUACCUUACACUUUUGAUAGUCAGUGCUGCAUGUUGAUUAGGUUUACACUUGCCCUUCUUUCUAUGGUAUUUUCCUGCGCUGCCACUGUCGACAUGGCAGUCAACUAGUCAAGGAGCAUCGACUUAAAAGUGAUGUGAAAUCAGUUGGAAUUAUUAAUUAUACUUGUGGAAAUGAAGUGCUUUAGACCCAGGUGGGCCUGGAAAUCAGCUAAAGGUCCUCCUUUCGUCGUGAUAAUAAAUAUAUGAAAUAGGAAUGAAAAAAAAAAAUACUCCUUUGACUUAUCAUAACAAAUAUAUAAAAAUCGGGAAUAAUUAUAUUUUAGACCUAAUUAGACUAAAAAAUUAAGCUUUAAUCCAUAUAAAUUCAUAAUAUAAGCUAAAAACUUAUAGAAAGUGUGAAAAUUGAGAAGAAUGAUAUGAAAUUUUUAUCUUUCCAAAAAUAAUAUUUAUUGGUUAUGGAAAAAAAGAGAGUAGAAAAACAUUAAUUUAAAUUUUAUUCCUUUUGCAAAUUUCAAUAAAAUUUAAUAUAAUUUAGUGGUUUGGAAAAAAAUACACCCAUGUCCAAAAAAUUAAAAAUAAAUUAUUAUUAUUUAAAAAUCAAACAUCUUGGAAAAUAUAUAUAUUUAAAAUUAUGUAUAUAAAAAAUAAUUAAAAAUAUGUCAAUUUUUUUUUAAAUGAUAUAUUUUUAUAAUAUAUUUUAAAAAAAAUUAGUUUUCUAAAAAUAAUAAAUUUUCAUAAUAAUUAUUAAAAAAAAUUAAGAUAAAAAAGUUUUUCAAACCUUAUGAUAGAAAAUAGUUCUGAAUGGUAUAUUAGUCUCUUCAUAUUUUAUAUCAUCUCCAUCAAUUAUGCAACUUUUAUGGGUCAAAUCUUAAUUUUUAGGUCCAAUUGGGUUCAAAAGACAAUUGUCCCUAAAAAUUAUCUCAAAUAAUAAAUUGUUUUUACCCAUGUGGUGUUUGUAGGAUCCAUUAUUUUUGUCUCUAUUCCACCACUCUUUACAUGCUAAUUCCAACAAAUUCUUCCUUAUUUAGUCGUUUCUGGAUUUUUCAUUAUUUUUUAAAACUCUUUUAUAAAUAAUCUAAAGUCAACAAUAUUUUUUAUUUUUAAAUUAUAAAUAAAAAAAUACAUUAAUGAUUCAAAAACUAUUUUGAAUAAUAUUUUUUUAAUAUAUAUAUAUAUAUAUAUAUAUAUAUGUUCAUUUAAAUGAAUAAAACUGUCUUUUACAUUUAAAAGUAAAUAAUUUAAUGAUUAAAACACUAUUUAAAAUAAACAUAUUCAUUAUUUUAUUUUCUUUUAUACUAAAAAUCAUUUUAAAGUUUAUUUCUUUAUUUUUUUUACUAUUCUAACAUAAAAAGUUUAAAUCUUCUUUUAAUUUUUUUUCUUAUUUUAAUAACAUUUUAAACAUGACUUCUACUAAUAAGUUAUAUGAAAUGUUACAAAUUCAUCUACUAAGGAUUUUUUUUAAUGAUUUGAAUUAAUUGAAAAAUUAUCAAAAUAAGAAAAAAAAAAUAAAGAAAGAAAGAAGAUGGAUAAAGAGUUUAUUUUAAAUAUCCAACUAAAAUAAGGUAUGCAAGGUAUUUGUGUAAGUGAACGAUGUAUUUACAUUAAGUGUACAAGAUAAAUGUAUUAAUUGUACAAAGGUGUACAAGGCUAUAUUCCUUGAAAGAAUUCAAUCGAUUUUCAAAAAAUCGCUUACUCAUUUCCUUUUUCCAAGGAUGUAGGACAUUCCACAAACACAUUGUUUGAUGACAUACUUAUCUCAUCUAUUUUUUUGACAUUGUAUAUGUUCAUUCGAUUACCUAGCCCACUAAUGAUGAAUAGGAACAUAAAUUGGGUUUAAUUUUUCCCAUUUUCCCUUAGCCAUGACAAUGGAAACAUGGUUAGCCCACUCAUAUGCACACAUUGCAUUCUAGGUCUAUGAAAUUUGUGUAGGUGUACAAAGUAUUUACACAAAGUGUACAAAGUAAAUGUAUUAACUAUAUAAGGGUGUACAAGACUACUUUCCUUUAAGGAAUUCAAUUGAUUUUCAAAAACUUGCUCGCUCAUUUCCCUUUUGACAAGGAUGGAGGACAUUCCAUAGACACAUUUCUUGAUGAGACACUCAUCCUAUGCAUUUUUUUGACAUCACACAUGUUCAUUUGAUUACCUACCCCACUAAUUAUGAAUAAAAACAUAAAUUGGGUUUAAUUUUCCCAUUUUCCUUGAGCCAUGACAAUGGAAACAUGGUUAACCACCCAUAUGCACACACUGCAUUCUAGGUCUAUAGAAUUUGUGCAAGUGUACAAGGUAUUUACACUAAGUGUAUAAUGUAAAUGUACUAAUUGUACAAGAGUGUACACAGCUACCUUCCUUGAAGAAAUUCAACUGAUUUUCAAAAACUCGCUCACUCAUUUUCCUUUGUCAAGGAUCAAAGACAUUCCACAAACACAUUACUUAAUGACACGCUUAUUCUAUGCAUUUUUUUUUUACUUCGUACAUGUUCAUUUGAUUACCUACUCCACUAAUAAUGAAUGGAAACAUAAAUUGGGUUCAAAUUUUCCUUUUUCCCCUAAGCCAUGACAGUGGGAAUAUGGUUAACUCACUCAUAUUCACAUAUUGCAUUCUGGGUCUAUGGAAUUUGUGCAGGUGUAUAAGGUAUUUACACAAAGUGUACAAGGUAAAUGUACUAACUGUAUAAAGAAGUACAAGACUACCUUUCUUGAAGAAUUUCAAAUAAUUUUCAAAAACUAACUUGACUCUUAUUUCUAAAUUUCAUCAUCUAAAAUUUGUAACUUCAUAUUUUGUUUUUUGUAACCCGUAUAAUUUAAAUGUUCCGAAAACUCUUCAUCUAUUCUCAAUGUUUUCCUAUUGAACUGCACUUAUACUCUUUUUCCAACAUAUUUUUUCAAAUUUUCCUUAUAUCUUUAGAAUUAAGUCUAUAUUUAUGAAUUUUAAUAUUAUUGAAAAAAGAAAAAAAAAUCAUAGUCUUAGACUUAGAGUGUAGAAUGCAAUACUCAAAAUUUGAUAUAUAUUGUGAUUUUAAAAUUAACUUAUGCUUUCUACAUCUUUUUAUUAAUUCAUCAUGUUGGACACUAUGAAUACAUUGUGCAGUUGCACCCUUAUUGUGAAUUUGAUCACAUGCUAAAAGAAAAAAUAAAUAAAAAUUUGAAGGAAAAAAUAAAAUUACAUUGCAACCACCUAGCUACAUGCCCACAUUAUCAAAGACAUUCUGGAAAAUUCUUUUCCACAAUGCAAGGAAUUAGAAGACCCAAGUUUCUGGAUGAAAACCAAAGUCCCACAACUUUGGUUGUAGUUCUUCUUCACUUGUAGAUCCAUAGACAAACUUGUUAAUUCUAUCACACAUAUCCACUUUGUUCCAAUACUAAAAGUAGAAUACCUAACCUGCCCAAAAAGGAGAGCCUAAAAAUAGUUCACAUUCUCAUCCAAACAAGCCAAUUUUCUUGAGAAAAAACUAGUGAAAAGGGUAAAAACAAAACCAAAUACAAAAUUAAUCAAGAUGAUCUAUAAGUACCUGAAUAAGAAGCACAUGGAAAACUAAAUUCUCAACAACUAAAAAACUUCCACUAGUAAAGGUCUCGAUGUCGACGAAAUGGAAAAUGGUGAUGGUGAGGAACAUGGGGAUGCCGACUACUACAAUGACAAUAGGAGGACUUCGAGCUCCUUUAGGGAUAUUUGUGUGGCUACAACAAUGUUGACGACAACAACGACUACCGAGAUCCAAAGUAGAUGAUGGUGUGCUAGGGUUUAAGAUCAUUUUAGGGCUUCGACGUCUUCAAAAAAAAAAAAAACUAAUAAGAGAAAUAUUUUAAUUACCAAACUUGGAAUCCAUUUUGCAAAAGGAGAAUUGUGUUUUAGAUCCAGAUGGGUCUAAAAAUUGGCCUUAAAUCCUCUUAACCCGCAUAAUUGGGCCCAAAACCCAGCAAAGCCUUACAAAUUGAGAUGAAGGAUAUUGACAUUCCAUAAACCCGAAAAUGCCCUUCGUUAAGCUAGAAAAAAAAAAUUCAUGCUGGAAAUACAAUUUGAAAAAUGGAUUCCAAGUUUGGCAAUUAAAAUAUUUCUCCUAUUAGUUUUCAUUUUUUGAAGAAUUGAAAACGCCAAAGCCUUAAAUGAUCCAAAACCUUAGCCACCAUCAUUUACUCUAGAUCUCAGUGGCUGUCGUUGUCAACGACGUUGCUGUAGCCACUCAAAUAUCCCUAAAGUAUUCAUGAUGAAUUAAUAAAAAGACUUAGAAAGAGCAUAAGUUAAUUUUAAAAUCAUAAUAUAUAUAUAUAUAUAUAUAUAUAUAUAUUAUCAAAUUCUGAGUACUACAUUCUACACUCUAAGUUUAAGACUAUGAUUUUUUUUCAACAAUAUUAAAAUUCAUAAAUAUAAACUUAAUUCUAAAUAUAUGAGGAAAAUUUGAAAAAAUAUGUUGGAAAAAGAGUAUAUGUGUAGUUCAAAAGGAAAAAUAUUGAAAAGAGAUGAAGAGUUUUCGGAAUAUUUAAAUUAUAUGGGUUACAAAAAACAAAAUAUGAAGUUAUAAAUUUUGGAUAAUGAAAUUUAGAAAUAAGAGUUGAGUGAGUUUCGAAAAUUAUUUGAAAUCCUUCAAGGAAAGUAGUCUUGUACACCCUUGUAUAGUUAGCAUAUUUACCUUGUACGAUUAAUGUUAAUACCUUGUACACUUGCACAAAUUCCAUAGACCUAGAAUCCAAUAUGCGAAUAUGGGUGAGUUAAUCAUAUUCUCAUUGUCAUGGCUCAGGGAAAAGGGGAAAAAUUGACAUGUACGAAGUCAAAAAAAAAAAAAUUGCAUGGAAUAAGUGUGUCAUCAAGCAAUGUGUUUGUGGAAUGUCUUUGAUCCUUAACAAAGGGAAAUGAACGAGCGAGUUUUUGAAAAUCAAUUGAAUUCUUUCAAAGAAAGUAGUCUUGUACAAUUAGUAUAUUUACAUUGUACACUUUAUGUAAAUACCUUAUAAACUUACACAAAUUCCAUAGACCUAAAAUGCAAUGUGUGCAUAUAAGUGGGUUAACUAUGCUUCCAUUGUCAUGGCUCAGGGAAAAGGGAAAAGAUUGAACCCAAUUUAUGUUCUUAUUCAUCAUUAGUGGGGUAGGUAAUCGAAUGAAUAUAUACGAUGUCAAAAAAAUGCGUGAGAUAAGUGUGUCAUCAAACAAUGUGUUUAUGGAAUGUUCCUCAUCAUUGGCAAAAGGAAAUGAGCAAACGAGUUUUUGAAAAUCAGUUGAAUUCUUUCAAGAAAAGUAGUUUUGUACACCUUUAUAUAGUUAGUACAUUUACCUUGUACGCUUAAUGCAAAUGCCUUGUACACAUGCACAAAUACCUUGUACACAUGCACAAAUACCUUGUACACAUGCACAAAUACUUUGAACACUUUAUUUUAGUUGGAUAUUUAAAAUAAAAACUCUUCAUCUAUCAUCUUUUUCUCUUUUUCAUUUUCUUAUUUUGAUAAAUUUUCAAUUAAUUAAAAUCACUAAAAAAAUAAAAAAUAAAAAUCCUUAGUAGAUAAAUUUGCAACAUUUCAUAUAACUUAUUACUAGAAGUCAUAUUCAAAACGUUAUUAGAAUAAGGAAUGAAAGACAUUCAAAGAAAAUUUAAACUUUUUAUUUUAGACUAGUAAAAAAAAGAAAGAAAUAAACUUUAAAAUGUUUUUUAGUAUAAAAAAAAAAGAGGAAAAUGGUGAAUAUGUUUAUUUUAAAUAGUGUUUUAAUCAUUAAAUUAUUUACUUUUAAAAUGUAAAUGAAACUUUUUAUUUAUUUAAAUUAACACUUUUUUUUUUUUAACAAAAAGCAUUUUUUAAAAUAGUUUUUGAAUCAUUAAUUUAAUUUUUUUAUUUAUAAUUUUAAAAUAAAAAAUAAUAUUGAUUUUAGAUUAUUUAUAAAAGAGUUUAAAAAAAUAAUGAUAAAUAAAAAAAAUGGCUAAAUAAGGGAGAAUUUAUUGGAGUUGGUAUGUAAAGAAUGGUGAAAGAAAGACAAAAAUGAUGGUCUUACAAACACGAGAUGAGUUAAAACAAUUUAUUAUUUGAGAUAAUUUUUAUAUAUUUGAGAUAAUUUUUAUAUAUUUGAUGUGGUAAGUUAGGCUAUAUUUUUUGGGAAACUUGUGUUUUGAUGGGGCCAUUUGGCAAAUAUAUGCUUUUCAGAACCCAACUUUAUGAAAUCUAAAAACCAGUUUUUAAUGUGAAAAAUUAUAUCUUUUUUAUGCACUCUAAGCCGACUGCAUUUUUUGUACCGAGAUUGCCUUUUUUUUUCCUCCCUUACCCACCAUCCAUUUCUCCCUUCAUCCCCAGUGAAACCGGCUAGCCGACGUCAUCCCCGGCCGCCACUCACACCUCUCACCGGCCGGCAGGCAAAGGUUGUGUUUUUCAACCUGGCUCAAAAAUCGUGGAUUUAGGGUUCGUGAAAUUUAAAUCCAAUGGCACAAAAGCAAAGAGACCCCUAGAACAGAUCUAGAAAACACAUGGAUCAAAAAAAAAAAAGCAAUUUUUUUGGUUUUCCUUGGGGGUUUUGCAUGAAUUUUCUCGGAAAUCAAACGAGGAUGAAUUUUCCAAAAAAUCAAAUAUGGAUGGAUUUUCUUGGGGAUCAAACAAGGAUUUUUUUUUUUUUUGCUUCUAUCGCCGUCGUCAAUGAUUGCAAGACUUGUUGGUUGCCGCCGUCAAUGGCAACCAGUCGUGCCUUCUUCCCUCCGACCCUGGUUCUCCCCCAUUGCCAUCGCCUUUUUCUCUCUUGGUGAUGUCGAAAGAGAAUAAAAGAGAAAGAAAGAGGAAAGGGAAAAGGAGAAAGGGGGAGAUUGCCGACCAGAAAAAGGUGUGAGUGGCAGCCGGUGAUGACGCCGGUCGGCUAGUUUCACUGAGGAGAGAGGGAGAGGCGGAUGGUGGGUACAAGAUGAAAAAAAAAAAAGGCAAUCUCGGUACAAAAAAUGCAGCCGGCUUAGAAUGCAUAAAAAAGAUAUAAUUUUUUACAUUAAAAAUUGGUUUUCAGAUUUCAUAAAGUUGGGUUCCAAAAAGUAUAUAUUUACCAAAUGGCCCCAUCAAAACACAAGUUUCCCAUUUUUUUUUCAUUAUUAUUUCAUAUACUUAUCAUCGUGAUAAAAGGAUAAGGCCGAUCAUUGUCGCACUGAAUGGCACUCCACCCCAUGCCCAUGACACACGACCAAUUGAUAUUGACCCUUCACAUUGACUUUCAGAUCCAUUUUUGUUUAUCAGGAAUAGUUUUUCUUCACUUAUUCUUCAUAAUCCUGUAUUUAUAUACUAUAUCAAUAUUUCUAAAUCCUUACCAUUAAUAACUUUUUCAAAAUUCUUUAUUAGUAUCCAUGUUAUAAAUAAUAAAAUAUGAAUUGAACAUUUUCGCUCUCCUCAUAAGCAUAUCACACUUGUCUAUUUGGUUCUUAGAAAAUAUUAGGAAUAAACAAAGAUAGCAUUGGAAAAAAAUAAUUUUUUUUUAUAUUUUGUUUAACAUGAAAAUAUUAAAAUCAAAUCAAUAUAAUUAAAAAUAGUUUAAAUUUUAAACAUUUUAAACUAGUUUAUCUUUAUAUAAUACAAAAAUACAUACAAUGAAUUUGAAUAAACAUAGAAAUGUAAUUUAUUAAUAAUAUUAAUUAUUUUUCAUUUUCCUUCAUGUAAAAAAAAUGGAUAUUAUAUAUAUAUUUAAAAAAAAAGUAUAUGUGAUUCUUGGAAAAUUUAAGGGAGAAUUCAAGAAAAAAAUAACUGAAUUUUCUUUUUUUCUUUCUUUUCCUUACAUUUUCCCUUAAAUUUUUAGAGAAUUGAAGAUAGAUUAAAAGGUUUUUUUCCUACAUUUUUCUUACAUAAAAGGUUAGAAAAAAGUUGAGAAAAUACAUUCCUCAAUAAUUUUUUUUUCUUCAAUUUCUCAAUAUAUAUAAACCAAACUUAUUCCAAGAGAUAAUGAUUAUAUUUAUUAUCAAAUAAAAUUUUUAUAUCUAAUUUACUUUUAGCUAGUAUUGUCCAACAUAAUUAAAUAAUACCAUGGUGGCUUAGGUUAAUUCUAAAAUGAUGGGAAAUAAAUCAAAAUGGUAAUGGACUAAUGAUAGAAAAAUUAUCAUAUAAAAUACCUAGGCAACCAUAGGUGAAAAAAAAAAUUUGAAAAUAAGACUCAUAUUAUGAAAAUAUUAAAAAAUAUUAUAAUUUAAUCACAAAGAUAAUGAGUAUGACUAAGAUCGACGUUUAGGAAAAGAGAUUUUAUAAAUAAAUAAAAAUUAUUUUGAAGUAUCUUACAUGGAUCGCUGAUUUUUAUUCAAAUUUUAAACAAAUUCAUACUAAAAAACCAUAAUGCUUGCUAAAUCUAAUCUUGUAACCUAGUGUUUUGUUCUUAGAAUAUAUAUAUAUAACUGUCCCGGCAUCUUCCACCCUCCUCAUAGAGAUGCUGGUAACGAACUCAACGCCACAAAAAUGCCGAAAGUAAACUUUUAAUUUGCCAAAAUUCCAUUCCCCGCUCUGUUUCUCCUCCUCGUCCUCUCCUUACCCUUUCAAGUAAUUUCCGAAAAUCUGGACGAUGAACUAUCAAUCCUACUAGACGUUAAACAACAACUAGGCAAUCCCCCGUCACUCCAAUCUUGGAAUUCCUCAUCCUCACUCUGUGAUUGGCCGGAAAUUACAUGCAUCGACAAUAUCGUCACUGAAAUUUCACUCAGCUACAAGACCAUCACAAAGAAAAUUUCGGCUAGAAUUUGUGACCUCAAGAACCUUAUCGUACUUGACGUCUCCAACAAUUACAUUCCAGGCAAGUUCCCGGAUAUUCUCAAUUGUUCUAAGCUGGAGCAUCUCCUCUUGAAGAAAAACUUCUUCGUGGGUUCAAUUCCAGCUGACAUUGAUCGACUUUCACGUCUCCGGUACCUAGACCUCACCGCAAACAACUUCUCUGAAGAUAUUCCCGCAGCAAUUGGGCAGCUACGGGAGCUGUUCUACUUGUUUCUGGUUCAAAAUGAGUUCAACGGCACCUGGCCAACGGAGAUUGGUAAUUUGGCGAAUCUUGAACAAUUGGCCAUGGCCUAUAAUGACAAAUUUCGGCCUUCAGCCCUUCCAAAAGAGUUUGGCGCAUUGAAGAAGUUGAAAUAUCUGUGGAUGACGGAGGCGAAUUUGAUUGGCGAAAUACCGGAGAGCUUCAACAAUCUAUCGAGUUUGGAACUCUUGGACCUCUUAGUCAACAAAUUGGAAGGUACGAUCCCGGGAGGCAUGCUUACGUUGAAGAAUUUGAACUAUUUGCAUUUAUUCAUUAAUAGAUUGUCCGGCCACAUUCCUUCAUCCAUAGAAGCUCUCAACCUGAAAGAAAUUGAUAUUUCCGACAACCAUUUGACGGGGUCCAUACCAACGGGUUUCGAGAAGCUACAAAAUUUGACGGGUUUGAAUCUUUUCUGGAAUCAGUUGUCAGGAGAGAUACCAGCAAAUAUAAGCCUCAUUCCUACACUGGAAACCUUCAAAGUUUUUAGCAAUCAAUUGAGUGGAGUUUUACCUCCAACAUUUGGCCUUCAUUCGGAGCUCAAACUCUUUGAGGUUUCCGAGAAUAAACUAAGCAGGGAAUUACCUCAACAUUUAUGCGCUAAGGGGGCUUUGCUUGGAGUGGUCGCUUCCAACAACAAUCUCAGCGGGGAAGUGCCCAUGUCCCUCGGGAAUUGCACAAGUUUGCUCACCAUUCAGCUUUCCAACAAUUGUUUUUCAGGCGGGAUUCCUUCCGGCAUUUGGACAUCCCCGGACAUGGUAUCAGUGAUGUUAGAUGGAAACUCAUUCUCAAGGACACUUCCAAGUAAAUUGGCAAGGAAUUGUCUAGAGUGGAGAUCACUAACAGCAAGUUUUAUGGUCCAAUUCCUGCUGAAAUCUCUUCCUGGAUGAACAUCUCUGUGCUCAAUGCCAGCAACAAUAUGUUGUCUGGAAAAAUUCCAGUGGAAUUGACCAGUCUUUGGAACACCACUGUUCUGUUGCUUGAUGGGAAUCAAUUCUCGGGUGAACUUCCAUCCCAGAUCAUCUCAUGGAAGUCGCUCAAUAAGUUAAAUCUCUCAAGAAACAAACUUUCUAGCCUAAUUCCCAAGGCAUUAGAUUCUUUAACUAGCCUUAGUUACCUCGACCUGUCAGAAAACCAGUUCUCAGGUCAAAUUCCUCCUGAACUUGGCCAUUUGAACCUUAUUAUCCUCCAUCUUUCGUCCAACCAACUCUAUGGGAUGGUCGCCAUUGAGUUUCAACAUGAAGCAUAUGAAGACAGUUUCUUGAACAAUCCCAAGUUGUGUGUCAAUGUUCCCUCUCUGAACCUCCCUAGAUGUGAUGCCAAACCUGUCAACUCCGACAAAUUGUCAACCAAAUAUCUCGUUAUGAUCCUAAUUUUUGCUCUAUCUGGUUUCCUAGCUGUUGUUUUCGUCACCCUGUCCGUGGUUCAUGUCUAUCAUAGGAAGAAUCACAGUCAGGAGCAUACAGCUUGGAAAUUUACUCCAUACCAUAAACUAGAUCUCGAUGAAUACAACAUAUUGUCCAGUUUGACAUAAAAUAAUCUGAUCGGAUGUGGUGGGUCAGGGAAAGUAUACCGAAUUGCUAAUAAUCGUUCUGGUGAACUCUUAGCGGUUAAAAUGAUUUGUAAUAACAGGAGAUUGGAUCAAAAGCUUCAGAAACAAUUCGAAACAGAAGUCAAGAUAUUGAGCACCAUACGCCAUGCCAAUAUAGUGAAGUUGUUGUGUUGCAUAUCAAAUGAAACCUCAAGUCUUCUUGUUUACAAGUACAUGGAGAAGCAGAGUUUGGAUAGAUGGCUUCAUGGGAAGAAGCAAAGAACAUCGUCCAUGACAAGUUCAGUUCAUAACUUCGUCUUGGAUUGGCCAACAAGGUUGCAGAUUGCCAUUGGACCUGCAAAAGGCCUAUGCCACAUGCAUGAAUACUGUUCUGUCCCAAUCAUACAUCGAGAUGUGAAGUCCAGCAACAUCUUGCUAGAUGCCGAGUUCAAAGCGAAAAUUGUGGAUUUUGGAUUGGCUAAGACGUUGGUCAAGCAAGGAGAACCCAACACCAUGUCAGGAAUUGUAGGCUCUUACAGGUAUAUUGCCCCUGGUAAGACCAUCAAGGCCCUCCUUUCCACAUGUUUUCAUUUCCAUAAUUUAUCGAUAAUUUGUAUCAUACCAUUCUCGUAUACUUGGAUCAUAGAGUAUGCUUAUACAACAAAGGUGAACAAGAAGAUCGAUGUAUAUAGCUUUGGAGUAGUCUUGCUUGAGCUUGUGACGGGAAGAGAACCCAACAAUGGGGACGAGCACAUGUGCCUUGCAGAAUGGGCAUUGGAUCAGUUUAGAGAAAGGAAAACCAUUGAGGAAGUGGUAGACGAGGAGAUCAAGGAACAAUGUGAUAGAGCACAAGUGGCCACUCUCUUCAAACUAGGCAUUAGGUGCACUAACAAAUUACCAUCCAAUAGGUCCACAAUGAAAGAGGUUUUGAAAAUUCUUCAACAGUGCAGUCCUCAAGAGGGCCAUGGAAGAAAUAAAAAGGACCAUGAAGUUGCACCUCCACUUCAAAAUGGCACUUAUCCCACCACUUACAAGUUGUGAGGAUAAAGCCCUUAAAAACAUGAUAUUAUGUAAUAAAUUUGGAACUCAUUAUUUAUUUAACGAUGUUCUGAUUUCACUUUUAUCUAUUCUUAUUCCAUGUAUUAUACUUUAUGAGCAUUCUUGUCUGCAUCUUUUGCAUUGCACGUAACUUAGGUGCAUUAAAAGUUGCACAGAAGAUCUAGGUCAUGGGUUCCUCGCAAAUAUAUGACUUGUUCACAACCAGUUCAUGGGUCUAGGAAGCCCAUUAGAGGUUGUAAAAAACCACUUCCUAAUUGGAAGAAUGGCUAGUCUUAGCUAUUGGGAUGAGUUUUCCAUGAUAAGUGCAUUAGUGUGUAUGGUUACAUAUUGGACAAGACCUAUGGUGAAUCAUGACUUAAGGUUAUCAAGCAGUCAUGACCUCAUCAAACUGCUUCAUUGUGUUGUCUCUCAACCUUGAGAGAAUAUUGAGCUUGUACUAAAGUUAGCAAUGACUUUGACAUACAGGUGAGAUCGUAAGUUGAUCAUAUAUUCCCUAUGGAUUGAGUCACUGUUGAUGGAAGAUGGUAGCGAUAGGUAUUUUCAAUAAAAACACCAUGAUGUUUCUUGGGAUUAAGACAAUGUGCCCCUUUUGGUGAUCUUAAAGAGGUGUGUUCAUGGAAACUAUGGUCAUAGUAGUUCCUUAAGUAAAAAUCGACAUAGGCUCUUUGAGAGGUAAGACAUGUCAAUUGAAUACACAAUAGGAGGAUUUAUAACUCAAGGAUGGUAGAGGUAGUCUUGAAAGACUAAUAACUUUCACUUUGUUAGACUAUGAAUAUCAGUUCAUGGGAAGACUAAACACAAUAAAUAGCAAGUCACAAACCUGAACAUUUGGUAUCUCAUUGUUAUUUUCAAUAAAAUAACAAUGAGAUGGUAAGUUGAUCAUAUAUACCCUAUGGAUUGGGUCACUGUUGAUGGAAGAUGGUAGCAAUAGGUAUUUUCAAUAAAAGCACCAUAAUAUCUCUUGGGAUUAAGACAUUGUGCCCCCUUGGGUGAUCCUAAAGAAGUGUGUUCAUGGAAACUAUAGUCAUAGUAAUUCCUUAAGUAAAACUCAACAUAAGCUUUUUGAGAGCUAAGACAUGUCAAUUGAAUACACACUAGGAGGAUUUCUAACUCAAGGAUGAUAGAGGUAGCCUUGAAAGACUAAUAACUUUCACUUUGUUAGACUACGAACAUCAGUUCAUGGGGAGACUAAACACAAUAAAUAGCAAGUCACAAGCUCGAGCAUUUGGUAUCUCAUUGUUAUUUACAUAGGAUACCGGAGUUCAAUUGAUUCUUUGUAGUGGGAUGUUGAAUCAACUUUAGAAUUGGAUUUUGAGAGAGUCGGUAUUCCUAUGGGUCCCAAUGGUCCUUACUCUAAGCUUAUAUACUUUGUUGGCAAGGAUUAUAAGAGUCGGAUUAGCUCUAGGUUUACUUUUGUACAUAAGGGCAUUUUGAUAAUUACGCAAGGUUACACAAAGGUAAAUGAACAAGGUUUUUAGAUUGGGUUAAUUGAUUAAUUAGUAGGCCCUGUUUGGUUAAUUAAUCAAUUAGGACUUUCUAUAUUAAGUGACCUAAGCCCUUAGUGGGCUCAAGUCACUUAAACCUAAUAGAAAACCCUAUAAAUACCCCCUUAAGGGUUAGAGUUUAUAUAGUUUUUCUAAAAAGCCAUCUUCUAUCUCUAAAGAGAAAGAGAAAGAGUCAUAGCAUCCACCCUCCCUUCUAUCUCCACUAGAAGUGUGUCGAUCAAGGUUCAAGUCAUUGGGAGGAAAACUUUGAAUUUACGAGACUUCUGCGAUUUCGUUCUUCAUUUUCACAAUGUGGAUUUGAUUCGAGAACAUCCGAAUUUGAGGUAUGGUUUUCAUUAGCACUUUUUGAAUCCCUUUAAAGUUUAAAAAUGUUAUUUUUCCGUUGUGCAUAGGAUUAAUUUAGAAAAUGCUUAGAAUAGUUAUGCAAGUUCCUAACCUGAUCUGAGCUUAGGAAAUGGAGAGAACCUAGUUUUUUCCCUUAAUGUUUGUGCUCCAAAGUGUUGAGAUAGUUUAGAGGGUGACAUGAUGAUUGACAUAAUACCUUAUGUGGAGAACCUAGUGAAUCCCUUCUCCAAGACAUUGAUAGGGAGAGUCUUUGUUAGUCACAUGGAUAGCAUAGGUUUUAAAUGAGUAUUUGGCAUGCUUUAAAGGCAUGAUGCUUUGAGGGCUAAUGGGAGAAUGUUAGGAUAAAGCCCUUAAAAGCAUGACAUGAUGUAAAAAAUUUGGAAUUCAUUAUUUAUUUAAUGAUGUUCUAGUUUCACUUUUAUCAAUCCUUAUUCCAUGUAUUAUACUUUAUGAGCAUUCUUAUUUGCAUUUUUUGCAUUGUACAUGACUUAAGUGCAUUAGGAGUUACAUAGAAGAUCUAAGUCAUGGGUUUCUUGCAAAUAAAUGACUUGUUCACAACUGAUUCAUGGGUCUAGGCAACCCACUAGAGGUUGUAGUGCAUCAUACCACCUUCUAAUUGGAGGGAUGACUAGUCUUAAUUAUCAGGAUGAGUUUCCCAUGGUGAGUGCAUUACUGUGUAUGGUUACACAUUAGACAAGACCUAUGGUGAGUCAUGACUUAAGGCUAUCAAGUAGUCAUGACCUUACCAACCAACUUCAUUGUGUUAUCUCUCAACCUUAAAAGAAUAUUCAGUUUAUACUAAAGUUAAUAAACUGAAGUUAGCAAUGGCUUUGACAUACGAGUGAGAUCAUAAGCUAAUCAUAUAUUCCCUAUGGAUUGGGUCAUUAUUGAUGGAAGGCGUGAAAGGCAGACGCCCGGGCACGCAAAGCCCGUCUCAACGAACGGGAGGAGAAAAGGCAAGAAGGAACUUUGCGGAAGGCUCUUGGUGAUAAACGCCCCGCAUCCCCUCCACCUGCUGGCGCACUAGAUAAAAAGAAGAAGAAGCAGGUUUUCAACAAGGGAAAAGAAAUAAAACUCUCAUCUCCCCCAAAGGAAGUUGUAAUACCACCUCCAACUUUCGUAAGAGGAAUAACAAUAAGAACGCCAGAUCUCUCCGUUUUGCCCUCUGUUUCAAGCGGCUCCAGACAUAUCGCGUAUCUAAAUGGAUCGGGGCCUUCAGUGCCAGUGCCAGCGGCUAGACGGCUGGCUCUUCUGGCUGAGGAAGCGACUUCAGUGAAUCAGCCCGACUCUCCUUAUCCGGACGCGAAUGUAGCCGGGGCCUCUUGUACUUAAACGUUGCUUCUUAUGGCGCCUUUAACGGAAGAAACAGGGGUUGAAAGUCAGGGUUUGCCUCAUUGCGAACCAAGCUUCCUUGCCCUUGUACCGGUGAAGGGGCCAGCUAUAAGGAGGUCUCAUCCGGCCCGUGAUUUAAAGUCUGGCAUUAGCGGGCGGCUUCAGGACAUUCUUCUGGAAACCAUCGAAGUCAGCUGCUCAUCCGCCCAGGAGGAUCAUCCGGAGGAGAGUGAGACGGAGAUGGCAGAAGAGAACCCAACCGCCCCGGUGCUGGUCCCGGAUGAGGGUUCACCCGAAGAGAUCCAGCCGGCCGUGAAUAAUGGGGCCCUAGAUCCGAGGGAGGAGUCACACCCUACCGCCUCGUCAAGGGGAAGUCUAGUUGAUGAUGCGGCUUGCAUCUCCGCUAGCCCUUUCAAUUAUGCGGAGUUGGGAGAGAUGCUGAAACGGAUUCCACCCGGCUCAGAUGUUGAUGUGCCUUCAGCAAAAAUGUUUGAAGUGGCGGAAAUGGUAUAGUUUUACUUCUUGAUUUUUCUUGCCAUACUGAUGUGUUUGUCACAUGGGUUGUAAUUUUGUACUUCUUGUUUGUGGGUUUUUCUGCAGCUGGUGAGCGGUAUUCGUGGCAUGGCUUAACAACAUGAUCUUUUUUCAGACCUGCUGCGUACUGCCGAUUAUAUGAAGGUCUUCGUCUCCCAUCGCAUAAACAGUAAAGAAGAACUGCGCUUGAGAUUGGAGCAGGCCGAAGCUAGUUUAUCCGCUGCCCGGAGGGCCUCUGAAGAGAGUGUCGAAGCUUUGAAGAAAUCCCAAGAGGACAACGAGGUUCUCCGGGUAGAGCUAGCUGAGCCAAAGAGUCGGGAGGAAUCUACAGACGCCCGUCUGCAUGAGGCGGAGGGUGAGAUGGCCCAGUUGAGGGGAGAAGUGAGGCAACUCCGGACAGAGGUGUCCAUUGAGAAAAAGCAGAGAGAGGACUUGCAGUUGCGUUUAUCAGCGCAAAAAGAAGAGUUCGAGGCUGAGUUUGCUGCGAAAAGGGAGGAACUCGAGACGAACUACCAGAAGUAGGUAGAUGAGAUGUAUAUCUUUGGCUACCGCUGUUGCAUGAAGAAGCAUGGCAUCAAACGGGACGUCCCUUCGAUUCCCCCGGGUGAGGAAGAAAAGUUGCGUCGCAAGCCCUCCCAAUGAGAGUUUUUCUUUUUUUAUCUUUUAUUGCUUUUUUCUUUUUGUAUUUUGUAGUCCGGAGAACCUUUUUUGUAUACAAUUUUCACAAGUAUUAAUAAAACAUACUCAUUCACAUUGUACUUGUAUCUUUCUUUCAUUAGUAAUACUGCUUUAAAUUGGACACAUUCCAUGGUCGGAGCAAUGGGGUUCCAUCUAGCUUUUGUAGAUGAUAGACUCCAUUUUCACUUGUCUUGGAUACUAUAUAGGGGCCUUCCCAAUUGGCUUGAAACUUUCCUGCUCCUGUCUCAACAGUGUUUUCGAAAACCUUCCUAAAGACCAGCAUUCCACUUUUGAAACUUCUGGGCCUUGCUUUGCGAUUGUAGUGAGCGGCUGCCCUUUGUUGAUAGUCUGCCAUCCGGAUGGAUGCGGUUUCUCUUACUUCGUCUGCCCAGUCCAAGUUUCUUCCUAACUUCGCACUUGCAUUAUCCUGACUUCCUGCCUCGGUCCGGAUAGUGGGUAGCCCUAUUUCAGUAAGAAUGACUGCGUCCAUACCGUAUGCGAGGGCGAAGGGAGUGUUUCCUGUCGGACGUCCGGGUGUGGUUCGAUAAGCCCACAGGACGCCGGGUAGCUCCUCUACCCAUUUCCCUUUGGCUUGCUCGAGCCUCUUCUUUAAGGCAGUUAUUAGGGUCUUGUUUGUGGCCUCUGCUUGUCCAUUGCUUUGAGGAUAACGCGGUGUGGAGUAUGCAUUUCGGAUGUUUAGUUCCGAAUAGAAAUCCCGAAAAGUUUUGCUAUCGAAUUGUGGACCGUUGUAGGCUAUAAUGGUUUGGGGGAUUCCAAAGCGGCAGAUGAUGUUCUUCCAUACGAACUUGGUGACAUCUUUGUCUUUGAUGCUAGCGUAUGCUUCUACUUCCACCCAUUUACUGAAGUAAUCCAUGGCGACGAGUAGGAAUUUUUUCUGGGCAGCUGCGGCUGGUAGGGGUCCUACUAUGUCCAUGCCCCACUGCGCGAAAGGCCAGGGACCUGAAAUUGGUUUCCACGUCUCCGACGGCACAUGUGGUAUGGGGACAUGCCUUUGACAUUUGUCACAUUUUUUUACGUAGGCUGCCGCAUCCUUUUUCAUCGUGGGCCAGUAAUACCCUUGCGAAUAGGCCCUGUGCGCCAGAGAUCGACCUCCAGAAUGAUUUCCACAUACUCCCUCGUGCAAUUCAGCUAAUACAUACAGGGCCUCUUAGUGGUUUAGGCACCGGAGAUAGGGACCUGUGAAGGACUGUUUAUACAAAUGCCCCCCAAUCAGGGUGAAACGGGCGGCUUGUAGCUUGUGUGUCUGCUUGGGCUCUUCGAGCAGAGUGCCUGUCUGGAGGUACCUUAUAAUGUCUUCCGUCCACUCUUGGCCGUCUGCUUGGUUUGCCUCAAUGGUAUUGCAAAUGGAAGCUUCUGUGACGGAAGGGUUGACUUGCACAUGUAUAGGCAACAAUAUGGCUUCUUUGAUGGGGAGGGAGGCAGCUAUGCCUGCCAGGGCGUCGACACGUCCAUUUUCAGCUCGUUUAAUUUUUUCGAUCGUCCAUUCGGUGAACCGUUGUAAGGUGUCCCUUACUUUAGUCAGAUACAGUGCCAUGCGCGCAUUCUUAGCUUCGUAUUCCUUUUGGACGUGCCUUACCACGAGUUGAGAAUCACUAUAGACCCGGAGCCUUGAGACGGAUAGAGCCAGGACGAGGUCCAAUCCGAAUAGAAUGGCCUUAUACUCCGCUUCAUUGUUAGAGACGGGAAACCCCAGCCGGAUGGCUUGCUCCAGAUGUUCUCCUGUUGGGGACUAUAGCAGGAGCCCUACUCCGGAUCCUGAUGAUCAGGAGGUUCCAUCGACCCGCAAAGUCCACCACUCUUUUUCACUUGGUUCCUUGUGCUGGGUAGGCUUUUGGGAGUAUUCCAGCACAAAGUCAGCCAUCACUUGACCUUUCAUGGACAACCUGGGUUGGAACUCAAUUCCAUAUUCGCUCAACUCUAUGGCCCAUUGAAGCAUUCUUCUGGUUAGGUCCGGCUUAUGCAAAAUGUUGCAAAGAGGUUGGUCUGUUAGCACGACCACCGGGUGGGCUUGGAAGUAAGGGCGGAGCUUCUAGGCGGCACUUCAAAGAGCUAAGGUCAUUAGCUCCAUCUUUGAAUACCUGGUUUCUACGUCCGUCAACGCUCUGCUGACGUAGUAGAUAGGUUUCUGCUCCUUAGGUGAGGAGCAGCAGAAUAGAACAACGCUAAUUGCUCACUCCGAUACAGCCAAAUACAUAUACAAUUUUUCUUCAGGGAGGGGGUUGCUUAGGAUGGGCGGUUGCAUGAGGCAGUGUUUAAUUUUUUUCAAAAGCGCUCUAACAGCUGUCUGUCCAUCCGCUUGCUCCAUUUUUUCAUAUUGCCAAGAAGAAAGGUCGCAGUUCAUCAAUGAAGCGGGCUAUAAAGCGUCCUAGCGCGACGAGCUUGCCUAUGAGGCGCUAUAAUUCCUUCUUGCUCCUGGGGGGUGGUGUUUCCAUGACUGCCUUGACUUGAUCCGGGCUGACCUCUAUCCCCCUUUGGCUGACCAUAAAUCCUAGGAAUUUGCCAGCACUUACGCCAAAGGCGUAUUUAGAAGGAUUCAACCUCAUGUCAUACUUCUUUAAGAGGUGGAAGACUUCUUGCAAGUGGAGGACAUGUUCCUCUCGGGUUUUGCUUUUAACCACGAUAUCGUCAAUAUAUACCUCUACUGUGCGGCUGACCAGAGGUUUGAAGAUCUUUGUCAUCAGUCUCUAAUAAGUGGCGCCAGCGUUUUUGAGUCCGAACGGCAUGACUUUGUAGCAAUAAAGGUCGUGUGGUGUUAUGAAGGCUGUCUUUUCUUCGUCAGCCAGGGACAUGGGGAUUUGGUGGUAUCCGGAGAAGGCGUCCAAGAAGGAAAGCAUCCCUUGCCCAGUAGUGGAGUCCACAAUUUGAUCUAUCCGUGGCAAAGGGAAACUGUCUUUUGGGCAUGCAUUAUUGAGGUUGGUGUAGUCGACGCACACCCGCCAUUUGCCUUCUUUUUUGGGUACCACCACUACAUUUGCCAACCAGUCCAGGUAAUCCACUUCUCUGAUGAAUCCGACUUCUAACAAAUUGUCAAUCUCAUUCCAGAUAAUUUUUUGUCUGUCCGGGUGAAAACGUCUAACCCUCUGUCAGACGAGUCUUGCUAUGGGCAAGACAUUAAGCUUAUGGGAGACGAUGGAGGGGUGAAUCCCCUUCAUAUCAUAAUGCGCCCAUGCGAAAAUGUCAUGGCUUUGUUGGAGGGCGUUUUGGAUGUUCCGGGUCUCUUCUAGAGUUAGGAGAGAACUGAUAUAUGUAAGGUGAGUAAGUACCUUCUUUCGAAAUUUGGAUCGCCUGCAAGGGAUCCGCUUCCGGGGGAUCUUUGUCUGUCAGACUCAAUAAUUGCUAUUGGUCACGUGCAUGGCUGGACUCAGGGAGGGAUGCAUCCUCCUGGCUGGUCUCUGCUUCUCGUGCUAUCUAGUAGCAUUGGUGAGCAGCUAACUGGCUGCCGUAUAAGUCAAUUUGCCCAUCCUUGGUAAGGAAGCUUACCAUUUGAUGAUAUGUAGAGGGGAUGGCUUUCAUGUAGUGCAGCCAUGUGCGCCCCAAGAUGACAUUGAAGGAUGAUAAGUCUUGUACCACCAAAAAUUGUACGUUGAGAAUGACUAGGUCAGCUUGGACCGGCAGUACAAUGUCUCCCAAUGAAGUAGUUGACGCCCCGUUGAAUCCGGACAAGAUUCGCCCAGGUUUUUCGAGGCCUGUGAGACUGUGCCCCAUGUGGCUAACGACCGAUGCUUGUACAAGAUCGGCCAAGCUGCACGGGUCAAUUAGGAUGCGUCGCACGUCGAAAUCUCCUAUCUCUAGGGACAGGAUGAGGGCGUCGCGGUGCGGCUGUAAUAUCCGGGUGGGGUCUACUGGUAGGAAAAUGAUUGUCCCAUCUAUGGGGCGAGGGCCCCCCCAGUUAUCCUAGGCCGGAUGGAGUUGACACACUCGCGCACCGAUGCUGGUCGCAACAACUUUUGUCUCUUUCGUUUGGAAUCGUACUCCUCGUCGGAUGGGCCUCCGUUAAUAUAGUUUAUAACGGCUUUAGAGGUGGUUGGGGCCCUAGGGGCUCCAGAGUUGUGAUUUCGAGAAGCGUCUUCACCUCUGGCAUCUGAGCGGAGGUAUUGCUUUAAAUGUCCCGCCUUUAUGAGCCUUUCGACCAAAUGAUGGAGACACCUGCACGCCUCCGUUGUGUGACCAUGCUCCUUAUGGAAGACACCUGAACUCUCCUCUGGGAUUCAGCAAUUUAUGAAUGUAUCUUUAGGCCCAUGUAGAUAAAUCCAUGCUUGGUGGUAGUAUGCUUAUUGAUGAUAGUCUAGAGAUGUGGAAAUCAAAUGAUUCUGAUGAACUAAAUUUGAUGCGUGAUGAGAUAGAUGACGUGUUAUCUAAGGAUCACAAAGUUCAUCAAUAGAAACUCGUUUGAUGAUGCGUCAAUCUGAUGGAGAGAAUCCGUUGAUAAAAAAUGAUGAAAUGCCAAUUUGAAGAUAAUGACUGCGAUUCAUCUCCGAAGAUGAAUCUAAUGAGAACGUUCAGGAUUCAGAAAUGGAGAGCUAUAAUGGCAGUGGUGAUUUGCAACAACAUCGAUCUCUGGUGGCAGUGACAGCAAACUCUAAUGGUGGUAAACUACGCCGACAGAGACAAUCUCCAUGAAUUGCGCAACAAACUUCAAUGGCGAUCUCCAGUGGUGGUGAUGAAUUCUCCUACAACAAUGAACUCUCAUUCUCCUGUAGAGAUGAACUCUCAGAUGUCGGUGAAUUAUUUUUAUAUAUUUUUUUAAUAAAUUUUAAAUGAAAUAAAAUAAAUAAAUAAAUUUUAAAUCAAUAAAUUAAUUUUAUAUAUUUUUUUAAACUCAUUUAACUUAUUUUAAAUUUUCAAUUAUAAAAUUAAAUAAUUUGAAAAUAUAUAAAUUUAUAACUAAUUUUAAUUAUAUUUUAUUUUCUUUUAUAAUUUUCAUAUAUAGUAUAACCAAUACCAAUGUUUUCAAAAUCAGACCGCUGCUUGAACCGGAAAAGUUACCGGUUCACGAUUCACGAUUCACGAUUCAUUAAUUGAACUGGUGGUCAAACCGUAGUCAAAUCAAUGACAUCAUAAAUAAUAAUUUUUUUCUUUUUUCUCACUAACUAAUCCCACAUCGGAAAUGGAUAAAAAAUAUGUAGGAAUUGUGGUAUAAAAGGCAAGCUAGAAUCAUUAACUUGCAAGACUAAAAGCUUAUUGGGCUUGAUGACAAACAAGUUGGAUGGGCUCCUCAUGGAGUGAUCCGGUUCUCUUAUGGUAUCAAAACCUUUUUUUUUUUGUUUUAAAAUAAAUAAAUAAAUAAAUUGUUCGGUUCGCUAAGAAUCGCCUGGUUGGGGCGGUUCACUAGCUCAACCACUGGUUUGAUGCCCAAACGGUUUUUUGGGUGGACCAAACUGGUUUUGUUACCGAUCGGACCAACUGGUCCGGUCCAAUUUUUAAAUCAUUAUCAAAUACAAUAAAAUAAUUUUUUUUAACAUUUUUUUUAUUUUUUUAGUACUUCUCAAAAAUCAAACAUAAUCAUAAGACUAAUCAUAUUUUUUAUCAUAAUAUCAUUCGAAGACAAUGCCCCAAGUGAGAAUCCCAAAACUUUUCAAUGUUUUACUAAUAUUAAGAUUUUGAAAAUCUAUACAAUUUAUUUUUCUUUUUCUUUUUUUAAUAUUUGGAUGAUAGUGCAUGAGUAUACAAGAAAGGUCAACGCAAAGAUCAAUGUCUACAAUCUUGAAAUUGCACUUCCAGAGUUGGGCCCUAAAAGAGAACCCAAUAAGGGGAAGGGGCAGCGUAUAAACCUUGUUCAAUGGGCAUGAAAACACCUUGGAGAAGGAAAGUCAUUCCUCUACCGGUUGACUAAUAAUUUGAUGGUAAUGACAGUAGUUCGGAUCAUUAACAUGACUCAUUUCUUCUAAACAUUUGCACUUAGGUAGCUCAAUAACUUUUUUAUGGAAUAGGUCUUCCAACAUGUUAGGCACAUCAGAGUCAGGAAAAUGAUAUUUCUUAUCCUUUAAUUCCUUCAAGGUGAAUCGACGCCUCUCAUUUUCCUAAAUUGGUCUAGUCUCUCUUACUUCCUUCUUUUUAUCUCGUGCUGAGAUUUUGAUGGGCGUUAUAUUUACUGUCAUUGACUUGUGGAUGGGUUUUAUUGAGGCCCGAUCACUUGUUUUCUCAUCAUGUCUCUCUCUUUACCGAUCAACAAUUAAUAAGGUCUUUUUUAGCACCAUGGUUAGCUAUGUUGAGCUUCAUGUCAUGUGCUCAAGUAGUUAACUGUUCAAAAAUGUGAGGUCAUAUCCCUUAGAGGAUGUACAAAACACCCCAAUGCAUUCCUUGUAUGCACAUUUCCAUGGCUGAUACAUCAAAUAAUCUAUCUUUGUAGUCGAAACUUAAAGAACGCCAAUGAUUGACGUAGUUUACGACCGGCUCAUAUUUCCAUUGCUUAGUAUUAGUAAGCUCCAUCAUGCUUACAGUCCGUCGGGUGCUAUAGAAAUGGUUGAGGAAUUUGCAUUCCAUUUGGCUCUAACUAUCGAUACACUUAGGUGUAAGGUCUAUGUACUAAUGAAAGCAUUCCCUCAAAAGGAACGAACAAAUUGUUUAACUAACAAGUCACUAUGUGCACUUGCAUUGUUAGAAGUUUUAACGAAAUGACAUGUUGUUUUGGAUUUCUCUUCCCAUAAAAUGAUUGAAACUUUGGAGGUUGAUAACCUACAAGCAUACAUAGGUUAUCAAUCCUCUUAGUGUAAGGUUUAGAGUACAUAAGUGUACUCUGUGAGGGUCCAUCGUACCGCACUCUAAUGGUGUUAGUUAUUAUGUCUUGAAGUUGCUAGACAGAUAACAACUCCAUCGAGGCAAAUUCCAUCAUUUUUCUUUCGACUUGCACUGUUCUAGAUGCAUGUGGUGCAUCAUCGAGAAGAGAUGCAACAUUCAAAAGGUGGUUAAGUCUUUAACUUGACUCACUUGUAUUUUGUACUUGUGCCUCAACCUUGUUUAUGAGAGAGGCUAUCUGCAUAUCAUUCUCCUCGACUAUCGUAGUGAAUUUGGUAAUGGUGUCAGUCAUCUCUACCAAUUGUUCCUCUAUAGAUGUAGUACCAACUGUCAUUACCGGCAUAGUCAUUGAGAUGAGAAAAAUAAAAUAGUCGAAAUGAUUGGAGUAGUUUUCCUCAUUCGACAUUCCAAUUGGUGAUUCGGAGUGUGAGCUGGUGCUAGAGUUAAUAUUGGUAAUAAAGCAAGGAGACUCAUCCCGAAAGUCCUUUAGUGCUAAAGAGAGUUUUCCCCUACUAUGAGGAUUGUGGCUCUUUGCCCCUAAGGAGGCCAAAGUGAUGAAUGGUUGGUGUUCAUCAUGUGUCCUUACCGAUUUUAGUAGACAAGUAGACCUAUUUAUUUCGUUGAAAGUGAAGAUGUUGAUUUUGAUUUGCUACGAGUCAUGGGACCCAUAGCAGUGUUGUGUGUUGAUUAUGCAAUGAUGAUCUUGUCAUUGUCCUUGUUGACAUGCACAACUUGAGUUCUUUUGGAUAUCAUCAACGUAGUAGAGAUCAAUCUUCUAACAAAAGAUAUGAGAGGCAGAGAGAUCCCAUCAAACAUGCUAGAAAUUUGUAUGCACAAAUUUCAUAAAGGUCCUGCAAAAUUAGCAAAACAAUACGAAAAUAAUGUGAACAAAAUAUUUAUCAAAAUUAAAAAUAUUGUGGUAUAAUAUAAAAAAUAAUACUCUUUACAAAACAAUAUUUUUUUCUCUAAUUUUUUUUGCCUUGAUCACAAUUUGAAAGACGACAAUGUCGUUUUCUUAUUUUGAAGAUUAAUUGAGGGCCACAAGUGACUUAUUCCUAAAUGAACACGUUGAAUGAUGAAGAACGCAUGUAGCAAUUCUAUCAUUUGCCGAACCUAUAGGGAGAUUCGAUGAUUUUUUUUUUUUUUUUUUUUUGUAAAGCCUUUUUUCCCAUACAAAGUUACCUCUAGAUUUUCUUCUUUAGGAUUUUCUUUUCUAGAUUUUUCUAAUUUUUGAGUUUCUCCCAUUUCUUGAAAGAAUUCACCUCUAUUUAUAGGUGAAGGUAGGAAAUUCGAAUUUUGAAUUCCCAAAUUUUAGUUGCUUAAUUCAAGGAAUUUAGUUAACUUUUCUUCUUGAGAAGGUUUCUCAUGAUGAUGAUGAUGAUAAUAAUAAUAAUAAUAAUAAUAAUAAUAUUUUUUUAAUUAUCAUUAUUAUUAUAUUUUCGAUUUUUUUAGGAAACUUAUUCGUAAUAGGAUAUUUAUUUAUUUAUUUAUUUUGAAUAUCAAAUUAGUGGUAAUUAAUCCACUAAAAUUUUUAUGUCUACAUCCUUAUCCACAAGUGUAGAGACAAAUAUGUCGUAAGUAAAUAAACUAUGAAUGACUUCAUUUGAGCUUAAAAUAAUAAAUUAAGCAAAUAAGCAUGUAGUAAAAUUAGAACUUACGACCCUCCUACUAAAUAAAGCUCUAAUAAUAUGUUGGAUAAUUGAUUUUUUUAAAAGCUUAAACUUAAGAUUUGCAUCCCGAUGGAUGUGCAUCAUGUUUUCUAAUAAUAUAUCACAUACUUUUCUAGAUUUUAUGUUAGACUUGUGAUUACUUCUCUAAAUUAAUUUUUCAGCAUAUUGUAUAUAUGCAUUUGUUAGGAUGAAUCAAUUAUCAAUCAAUGCAGAAAUACAAGUACUCCUCAUAGAGCCUCUCUACUUAUUUCCACUACAACAGCUUAGUUGGUUGAACUUAAAAGAAUUCCUAAGUGCUUUCACAAAUGUUUUGAACUUCAAACCUGCACAAAGAUGGAAACCAUAUCAUUGAAAUAAUUAAAACAAAUCAACUGAAAUCAAACUGCUAUUGCCUUGUUUAAAAAUUUAAAGAAAAAAACAAAAAAAAAAUCAUGGGCUUUUACGCAAAACUUAACAGUAGGGUUCCCAAAGUUCAUUAUUCAGAAUACUAACAAGUGUCAUGUAUCAGUUCAACUCGGCACCUUCUUCCAUAAAUAAAUUAUAUUUGCUUUGGAAGAAAACUUGAGUUUUGAACAAAUAUAAUAUAUUUGAAAAAAAAAUCCAUAAAAUGGAUCUUCAAUCAAAAUAAUUCUCAAAAUAGUGUAUUUGUACUUGGGCAUCCAAAUAGUUUGAGAAUAUUUUUUAUGUGAUAAAAUCCUAAUUGAUAACUAUGAUUUUAAUUUAUUUUUUUUAAAUAUAAAACCGCUGUUGGUAAUUAUAGUUUUAACCAUUUUAAAAGAAAAUUCAAAAUCAUAAUUAACAACUAUAGUUUUAUAAGGUGGAUAUGUUAGCUCUUUUCUUAUAAUGUGUGAUCAUAUAUAAUUAUAUUUGUGUAAAUAUUAUUUAAGAGUAUCAAUUGAUAGAUAGGUGAAUCAAUUGAUUGGGCAUUCAAGAGUCUUAUGUAUGGAAGACUCAAAUUAUAAAUGGGGAGUUAGAAAAUUUAAUUUAUAUGAAUGUGGUGUUUAUAACCCCAUCAUUAUGAAAUUUAUUUUGUACAUUAUAUUUAUGAGUAAUAGAGGAAAAUGAAAAACUAUAACCUAUGCAUUUAUAUAAAUGCAUUCAAGUUCAUAACUCACCAUUACCCAUUAAUUUGUACAUAAUAGGUGUAAAUAAUGAGUAUAACUCUCGUAUAAUCUUUUAUAAGAAGACUAAGAGAUGUACAACUUUUUAUAAGUUAAGGUCUCAAGUCACAUUCUCAUUCUUAUGUCAUUUUGUUGUUUUAUUUUUUAACAACAUACACCACAUAAGUGACUCAUCCACUAUAUGAGAGUAGUGAGUUGAAGACUUUGACAAUACAAUUCACAAAAUGAUUCAAUUUCACUUCAAAAAUGAUAUUGAUAUUAUGGAUCAAGGUAAGAAUAUGAUCAUUAUUUUAAUAUUUAUAUUUAUUUUGUUUUAUGCAUUCAAAAUUAUUUUUUUUUAAAUAAUGAUUUCCACAUAAAGUUUAUAAAAGUUUAGUUAACAGGAAACCCAUGUGGAUGAGAUGCACUAAAAUUAUUCUGAGAUGGAAUCUAACCUGUGGAAUUUUUUUUAAAUAAAUUAUUUUUGUUCAAAACUUAGAAAAAAAAACUUGUUGAAAACUAAAUUCAACUAUACACUUUCGUAUUUUUCUUUUUAUAAGAUCAAAUCCACGUUAUCACUUUUCCACUAGAAUCCUCAUGAUUAAUUGUAGAAUUCUUGAGAUGAAAUGAAAUGGUUGUUGAAACUUCAGUUUUCAAUCUUGAUCAAUGUUGUCCCUUCCCUUAGCUGUGCAUUAUUCCAAUGCCAGUUUUUCUCCACAAACUUAGUCCAGAGACAAGAUUAGAUUCCGUGUGGAACCAUUCAUGUGUGGAUCCCGUUGUGAGACUUGACCAUCAAUAUCCUUCUCUCCAUUUGUGGGGUACUGCCCACGUGACCACUGCUUUGGAAAUUUGAGUAACACACCUAAAUUCUCAAAGACCCAAAACUACAGAUUUCUGCUUCAUCUUUCUCCUCAUUCAUGUGCACCUUUUCAAAGUAUUCAGUGGAGAUUGGCCCCAUCAGUCACGUUUUCCAUAAUGCAUGGUUACGUCACCAUCCAUUUGCUAAGUUGUCAUGCCUUUUUUCUACACCAACUCAGAAACCCCACCCGGCUGGUAUGGUUUUCAUUUUUUAUUUAUUUAUUUUUUUUAACCAAUAUAAAUAAGGCAUGAACCCAUCCAUUUUCAUAUCUGUACCUAAUGUUAAUAUUAAGUGAUUCUACUUAAAAAUACUUUUAGUUUAUAUUAUUAUUAUCUGUAAUACUUUUAUUAUUUAGAGAUAAUUACUUAAUAUUUAAAUAUAUAAAUAAGAAAAAAAAUUCAAAAAAACAUCCAUCAAUAUAUAAUAUAACAAAUUAUUGUCUUUAAAACCUAAUUUUUAGCAUAAAAAAAAGGUAUUUUAUCUCACUCAAAGUUACUCCCAAAUCAACUCUUAAGGAUUGUUUGAAAUUGCAAAUUUAACUUUUAUAUUGAUAAAUAAAAGAGGUAAAAGUAAUUGUUAUGUUUGAAAAUUAUAUGUCAAAAAUAUUGUUAUUAAAGAGAAAGAUAAUUUUGAAAUUUUUAGUUAAAUAAAAAUUUUCUAAAAUAUAUAUAUAUAUAUAUAUAUAUAUAUAUAUAUAUAUAUAUAUAUAUAUAUAUAUAUUUAAUGCAUAUGAAUUUCUAUUCACAUCCAAUUAUGAUCUAAUAUUCUUAUAUAAAACCUCAUUCAAUUUAACAUGAGUAUAAUUACUUAUUUUAUUAUUUAUUAAUAUAUAUUAUAAUUAAUUAAUUAAUUUAUUUAUUUUAAAAAAAAAAACUAUGAAUGAUUGAUAUUUCCAUAAAAUCAAAACGUGAUGUAGACUAAUUGGUGCCUAGCGUUGACCCAAAGUCAAGUCUUUUCUCUAGUGUGGCAUUUUACACAUUUAUUUAUGAUUACCAAGACUUGGAAAAGCAACAUUAGGAAUUGGUGUUCCCCAAUUUUUUGUCAUCAGGUUUAAAAGAUAAAAUAGAGGGUAAGACAUGGAUUUAAAUUUUAUAAUCAGAUUAAAAAACCGAAAACAAUAUCUAUAAUCAAACAAUUUCACAUGUGUUUUGAAGUUUUAUUGUUUUAUUUAUUUAUAGAUUGAUUCAACAACCUAAAUUUUAUUAUAUAUAUUUAAUGAUUUAGAUUUUUUAUUUUAUAUGUAUAUUCUCUCUCUUAACAUUUUCUCAAAUUCCAUCAAUUCAUGAGUUUCCAAGAAGUAUCCCCUACUCCACUCCAUGAAACAUAUCUUGAAAAUGAAGUUGUCCCUUAGAAUAAAAUAUCUAUCCUCAAGACUUAAGACCUCAAACCUAAAGCUAAGGAUAGACCUCCAACCACCAUCUGGAGGACAUUAAUUAGUCUUGUUUUCUUAAUUUUUAUUUUCCAACCCCACUUUAACAACCGAAAAGAUUUACUUGUCUUUAUUUAUGAUUUAAAAAUAAAUAAAUUCAACUUUAUAUUAACUUGACUUUCAAAUAUACUAUUUAACCGUUGGUUUUCAUCUUUCCCACCCAUCUUCCUCCCAACUCAUAGAGAAGCGGUAAGGAACUCAAUGUCACCAAAAUGCGGAAACCACCAUUUUUAUUUACCAAAAUUCCAUUCCCCGCUCUAUUUCUCCUCCUCGUCUUCUCCUUAACCUUUCAAGUAAUUUCCCAAAAUCUAGAUGCUGAACGAUCAAUCCUACUAGACGUUAAACAACAACUGGGCAAUCCACCGUCACUCCAAUCGUGGAAUUCCUCAUCCUCGCCCUGUGAUUGGCCGGAAAUUACAUGCAUCGACAAUAUCGUCACUGAAAUUUCACUCAGCUACAAGACCAUCACAAAGAAAAUUCCGGCCAGAAUUUGUGACCUCAAGAACCUAAUCGUACUUGACGUCUCCUACAAUUACAUUCCAGGCGAGUUCCCGGAUAUUCUCAAUUGCUCUAAGCUCGAAUAUCUCCUCUUGUUGCAAAACUCCUUCGUGGGUCCAAUUCCAGCUGAUAUUGAUCGACUUUCACGUCUCCGAUACCUAGACCUCACCGCAAACAACUUCUCUGGAGAUAUUCCCGUAGCAAUUGGGCGGCUACGGGAGCUGUUCUACUUGUUUCUGGUUCAAAAUGAGUUCAACGGCACCUGGCCAACGGAGAUUGGUAAUUUGUCAAAUCUUGAACAAUUGGCCAUGGCCUAUAAUGACAAAUUCCGGCCUUCAGCCCUUCCAAAGGAGUUUGGCGCAUUGAAGAAGCUGAAGUAUCUGUGGAUGACGAAGGCAAAUUUGAUGGGCGAAAUACCGGAGAGCUUCAACAAUCUAUCGAGUCUGGAACUCUUGGACCUCUCAAACAACAAAUUGGAAGGUACGAUCCCGGGAGGCAUGCUUACAUUGAAGAAUUUGAACUAUUUUCUUUUAUUCAUUAAUAGAUUGUCCGGCCACAUUCCUUCAUCCAUAGAAGCUCUCAACUUGAAAGAAAUUGAUCUUUCCGACAACCAUUUGACGGGGUCCAUACCAGCGGGUUUCGGGAAGCUACAAAAUUUGACGGGUUUGAAUCUUUUCUGGAAUCAGUUGUCAGGAGAGAUACCAGCAAAUAUAAGCCUCAUUCCUACACUUGAAACUUUCAAAGUUUUUAGCAAUCAAUUGAGUGGAGUUUUACCUCCAGCAUUUGGCCUUCAUUCGGAGCUCAAACUCUUUGAGGUUUCCGAGAAUAAACUAAGCGGGGAAUUACCUCAACAUUUAUGCGCUAGGGGGACUUUGCUUGGAGUGGUCGCUUCCAACAACAAUCUCAGCGGGGAAGUGCCCACGUCCCUCGGGAAUUGCACAAGUUUGCUCACCAUUCAACUUUCCAACAAUCGUUUUUCAGGCGGGAUUCCUUCCGGCAUCUGGACAUCCCCGGACAUGGUAUCGGUGAUGUUAGAUGGAAAUUCAUUCUCAGGGACACUUCCAAGUAAAUUGGCAAGGAAUUUGUCUAGAGUGGAGAUCGCUAACAACAAGUUUUAUGGUCCAAUUCCUGCUGAAAUCUCUUCCUGGAUGAACAUCUCUGUGCUCAAUGCCAGCAACAAUAUGUUGUCUGGAAAAAUUCCAGUGGAAUUGACCAGUCUUUGGAACAUCACUGUUCUGUUGCUUGAUGGGAAUCAAUUCUCGGGUGAACUUCCAUCCCAGAUCAUCUCAUGGAAGUCGCUCAAUAAGUUAAAUCUCUCAAGAAACAAACUUUCUGGCCUAAUUCCCAAGGCAUUAGGUUCUUUAACUAGCCUUAGUUACCUCGACCUGUCAGAAAACCAGUUCUCAGGUCAAAUUCCUCCUGAACUUGGCCAUUUGAACCUUAUUAUCCUCCAUCUUUCGUCCAACCAACUGUCUGGGAUGGUCCCCAUUGAGUUUCAACAUGAAGCAUAUGAAGACAGUUUCUUGAACAAUCCCAAGUUGUGUGUCAAUGUUCCCACUUUGAACCUCCCUAGAUGUGAUGCCAAACCCGUCAACUCCGACAAAUUGUCAACCAAAUAUCUCGUUUUCGCUCUAUCUGGUUUCCUAGCUGUUGUUUUCGUCACCCUGUCCAUGGUUCAUGUCUAUCAUAGGAAGAAUCACAAUCAGGAGCAUACAGCUUGGAAAUUUACUCCAUACCAUAAACUAGAUCUCGAUGAAUACAACAUAUUGUCCAGUUUGACAGAAAAUAAUCUGAUCGGAUGUGGUGGGUCAGGGAAAGUAUACCGAGUUGCUAAUAACCGUUCUGGUGAACUCUUAGCGGUUAAAAUGAUUUGUAAUAAUAGGAGAUUGGAUCAAAAGCUUCAGAAACAAUUCGAAACAGAAGUCAAGAUAUUGAGCACCAUACGCCAUGCCAAUAUAGUGAAGUUGUUGUGCUGCAUAUCAAAUGAAACCUCAAGUCUUCUUGUUUACGAGUACAUGCAGAAGCAGAGUUUGGAUAGAUGGCUUCAUGGGAAGAAGCAGAGAACAUCGUCCAUGACAAGUUCAGUUCAUAACUUUGUCUUGGAUUGGCCAACAAGGUUGCAGAUUGCUAUCGGAGCUGCAAAAGGCCUAUGCCACAUGCAUGAAAACUGCUCUGCCCCGAUCAUACAUCGAGAUGUGAAGUCCAGCAACAUCUUGCUAGAUGCCGAGUUCAACGCGAAAAUUGCAGAUUUUGGAUUGGCCAAGAUGUUGGUCAAGCAAGGAGAGCCAGACACCAUGUCAGGAAUUGCAGGCUCUUACGGAUAUAUUGCCCCUGGUAAGACCAUCAAGGCCCUCCUUUCCAAAUGUUUUCAUUUCCAUAAUUUAUCGAUAAGUUGUAUCAUACCAUUCUUGUAUACUUGGAUGAUAGAGUAUGCUUAUACAACAAAGGUGAACAAGAAGAUCGAUGUAUAUAGCUUUGGAGUAGUCUUGCUUGAGCUUGUGACGGGGAGAGAACCCAACAAUGGGGACGAGCACGUGUGCCUUGCAGAAUGGGCAUGGGAUCAGUUCAGAGAAGAGAAAACCAUUGAGGAAGUGAUGGAUGAGGAGAUCAAGGAAGAAUGUGAUAGAGCACAAGUGGCCACUCUCUUCAAACUAGGCAUUAGGUGCACUAACAAAUUACCAUCCAAUAGGCCCACAAUGAAAGGGGUUUUGAAAAUUCUUCAACAGUGCAGUCCUCAAGAGGGCCAUGGAAGAAAUAAAAAGGACCAUGAAGUUGCACCUCCACUUCGAAAUGACACUUACCCCACCACUUACAAGUUGUGAGGAUAAAGCCCUUAAAAACAUGAUAUGAUGUAAUAAAUUUGGAAGUCAUUAUUUAUUUAAUGAUGUUCCGAUUUCACUUUUAUCUAUCCUUAUUCCAUAUAUUAUACUUUAUGAGCAUUCUUGCCUGCAUCUUUUGCAUUGCACGUAACUUAGGUGCAUUAAGAGUUGCACAGAAGAUCUAGGUCAUGGGUUCCUUGCAAAUAUAUGACUUGUUCACAACCAGUUCAUGGGUCUAGGAAGCCCAUUAGGGGUUGUAAUAAUCCACUUCCUAAUUGGAAGAAUGGCUAGUCUUAGCUAUUGGGAUGAGUUUCCCAUGGUAAGUGCAUUAGUGUGUAUGAUUACAUAUUGGACAUGACCUAUGGUGAAUCAUGAAUUAAGGUUAUCAAGCAGUCAUGACCUCAUCAAACUACUUCAUUAUAUUGUCUCUCAACCUUGAGAGAAUAUCGAGCUCGUACUAAAGUUAGCAAUGACUUUGACAUACGAGUGAGAUCGUAAGUUGAUCAUAUAUUCCCUAUGGAUUGAGUCAUUGUUGAUGGAAAAUGGUAGCAAUAGGUAUUUUCAAUAAAAACACCAUGAUGUCUCUUGGGAUUAAGACAAUGUGCCCCUUUUGGUGAUCCUAAAGAGGUGUGUUUAUGGAAACUAUGGUCAUAGUAGUUCCUUAAGUAAAACUCGACAUAGGCUCUUUGAGAGCUAAGACAUGUCAAUUGAAUACACAAUAGAAGGAUUUAUAACUCAAGGAUGGUAGAGGUAGUCUUGAAAGACUAAUAACUUUUACUUUGUUAGACUAUGAAUAUCAGUUCAUGGGAAGACUAAACACAAUAAAUAGCAAGUCACAAACCUGAACAUUUGGUAUCUCAUUGUUAUUUUCAAUAAAAUAACAAUGAGAUGGUAAGUUGAUCAUAUAUACCCUAUGGAUUGGGUUAUUGUUGAUGGAAGAUGGUAGCAAUAGGUAUUUUCAAUAAGCACCAUAAUAUCUCUUGGGAUUAAGAUAGUGUGCCCCCUUGGGUAAUCUUAAAAAGUGUGUUCAUGGAAACUAUGGUCAUAGUAAUUCAUUAAGUAAAACUCAACAUAGGCUCUUUGAGAGCUAAGACAUGUCAAUUGAAUACACAAUGGAGGAUUUAUAACUCAAGGAUGAUAGAGGUAGCCUUGAAAGACUAAUAACUUUCACUUUGUUAGACUACGAACAUCAGUUCAUGGGGAGACUAAACACAAUAAAUAGCAAGUCACAAGCUCGAGCAUUUGGUAUCUCGUUGUUAUUUACAUAAGAUACGGGAGUUCAAUUGAUUCUCUGUAGUGGGAUGUUGAAUCAACUUUAGAAUUGGAUUUUGAGAGAGUCGGUAUUCUUAUGGGUUCCAAUGGUCCUUGCUCUAAGCUUAUAUACUUUGUUGGCAUGGGUUAUAAGAGUCGGAUUGACUCUAGGUUCACUUUUGUACAUAAAGGCAUUUUGAUAAUUACACAAGGUUACACAAAGGUAAGUGAACAAGGUUUUUAAAUUGGGUUAAUUGAUUAAUUAGUAGGCCUUGUUUAGUUAAUUAAUCAAUUAGGACUUUUUUUGGGCUAUAUUAAGUGACCUAAGCCCUUAGUGGGCUCAAGUCACUUAAACCUAAUAGAAAACCCUUUAAAUACCCCCUUAAGGGUUAGAGUUUAUAUAGUUUUUCUAAAGAGCCAUCUUCUAUCUCUAGAGAGAAAGAGAAAGAGUCAUAGCGUCCACCCUCCCUUCUAUCUCCACUAAAAGUGUGUCAAGAUCAAGGUUCAAGUCAUUGGGAGGAAGACUUUGGAUUUACGAGACUUCUGUGAUUUCGUUCUUCAUUUUCACCACGUGGAUUUGAUUUGAGAACAUACGAAUUUGAGGUAUGGUUUUCAUUAGCACUUUCUGAAUCCCUUUAAAGUUUAAAAAUGUUAUUUUUCCGUUGUGUAUAGGAUUAAUUUAGAAAAUGCUUAGAAUAGUUAUGCAUGUUCGUAACCUGAUCUGAGCUUAGGAAAUGGAGAGAUCCUAGUUUUUUCCCUCAAUGUUUGUGCUCCAAAGUGUUGAGAUAGUUUAGAGGGUGACAUGAUGAUUAACAUAAUACCUUAUAUGGAGAACCUAGUGAAUCCCUUCUCCAAGACAUUGAUAGGGAGAGUCUUUGCUAGUCACAUGGAUAGCAUAGGUUUCAGAUGAGUAUUUGGCAUGCUUUAAAGGCAUGAUACUUUGAGGGCUAAUAGGAGAAUGUUAGGAUAAAGCCCUUAAAAACAUGACAUGAUGUAAUAAAUUUGGAAUUCAUUAUUUAUUUAAUGAUGUUUUAGUUUCACUUUUAUCAAUCCUUAUUCCAUGUAUUAUACUUUAUGAGCAUUCUUGUCUGCAUUUUGUGCAUUGUACAUGACUUAAUUGCAUUAGGAGUUAUAUAGAAGAUCUAAGUCAUGGGUUUCUUGCAAAUAAAUGACUUGUUCACAACUGAUUCAUGGGUCUAGGCAACCCACUAGAGGUUAUAGUGCACCAUACCACCUUCUAAUUGGAGGGAUGACUAGUCUUAAUUAUCAGGAUGAGUUUCCCAUUGUGAGUGCAUUACUGUGUAUGGUUACACAUUAGACAAAACCUACAGUGAGUCAUGGCUUAAGGCUAUCAAGUAGUCAUGUCCUUACCAACCAACUUCAUUAUGUCGUCUCUCAACUUUAAGAUAAUAUUGAGUUUAUACUAAAGUUAGCAAUGGCUUUGACCUACAGGUGAAAUCAUAAGCUAAUCAUUUGGGUCAUUGUUGAUGGAAGUCGGUAGCAAUAGGUAUUCUCAAUAGAAAUACCAUGAUAUCUCAUGGGAUUUAGACAGUGUGUCCCCUUGAGUAAUCUUAAGAAAGUGUGUUCAUACAAACUAUGACCAUAGUAGUUCCUUAAGUGGAACUUGACAUAGACUCUUUGACAACUAAGACAUGUCAAUUAAAUAUAUAAUUGGACGAUCUGUAACUCAAAGAUAGUAGAGGUAAUCUUUAAGGAUUGAUAACUUUCACUUUAUUAGACUACAGACACUAAUUCAUGGGGAGACUAAACAUAAUGGAUAGCAGGUCAUGGACCCGAGUACGUAAUAUCUCGUUGUUAUUUACAUAGGAUAUUGGAGUUCAAUUGAUUCUCUAUGGUGGAAUGUUGAAUCAACUUUAGAAUUGGAUUUUGAGGAAGUCAGUACUCCUAUGGGUCCCAAUAGUCCACACUCUAAGCUCAUAUAACCUAUUGACACGGAUUAUGAGGGUCGGAUUGGCUUUAGGUUCAUUUUUGUGUAUAAGGGCAUUUUGAUAAUUACACAAGGUUGCAUAAGGGUAAGUGGACAAGGUCUCUAAAUUGAACUAAUUGAUUAAUUAAUAGGCCUUAUUGGGUUAAUUAAUCAAUUAGGACCCAUUUUGAGUUAGAUUAAGUGACCCAAGCCCAUGUGGGCUCAAGUCACUUAAGCAUACUUAGGAACCCUAUAUAUACCCCCUAAGGUUUAGGGUUCCCACAACUUUUGUCCUCCACCUGUUAGGAUAGAGCCCUUAAAAGUAUAACAUGAUGUAAUAAAUUUGGGAUUCUUUAUUUAUUUAAUGAUGUUCUAGUUUCACAUUAUUUAUUUAAUGUGAAGACAUUUGGAACCCAUCUCUCCUUCACAGAUUUAUCCAAAAGUUGCAUGCUCUGACUCAAGUUUCCAUGCAUACACAACCCUCUGAAGUGAUCAUCAACUCCAUUACCUUAGUAGUUUUUUCCAUGUCAAGCAUACAGUUAGUUUUGAGAGCGAGACCCAUUUUCACUAUGAACUCAAUGACUGUGCUUCGAUCAACUAGUUUGGCAUUUUCAUUUCUUUAUGGCAACCAAAUUUGGACUAGAUCUAACACUUGGCAGGCCAAAGGGCAUGAAUCAAAAACAGAGGAAAGCGACGGAAAAAAAAAAAAAAAACAAAGCACAAAUGGUUGAAACAAAACGAACUAAUAAAAGCCACAUUUUAUGUUUCAAUCAACCGACUUAGAUGUAGGUGAGUGAAACUAAAAAGAUUUUAAACAAGAACACAAGUAUUAUUCAGACAUUCUAUAGGAAAGCUACAACAGAGAUAAAUCAUGCUCAAACAUAACCAAAGGAAAUGAGGCAUGAAUCAACUAUAACCAAAUCACAGAAACCAAGAGAUUAACAAUAACAAGUGUGUGUCCUACGAUUAUCCAGACCCAAAACAUGGAAAAUUUUAGAAUCUAAUUGAUAAAUGAAAGAAAAAAAUGGAAAAAAUGGAGAUGAAGAAAAUUAAAUACACAAUUUAAAGGACUGAGAACCUGACCUGAACUCUUCUCUAAGAUUUAGCAAUUUAUGAAUGUAUCUUCAGGCCCCUGUAGACGAAUCCAUGCUUGGUGGUAGUAUGCUUAUUGAUGACAGUCUGGAGAUGUGGAAAUCAAAUGAUUCUGAUGAACUAAAUUUGAUGCGUGAUGAGAUAGAUGACGUGUUAUCUAAGGAUCACAAAGUUCAUCAAUAGAAACUCGUUUGAUGAUGCGUCAAUCUGAUGGAGAGAAUUCGUUGAUAAAAAAUGAUGAAAUGCCAAUUUGAAGAUAGUGACUGCGAUUCAUCUCCGGAGAUGAAUCUAAUGAGAACGUUCAGGAGUCAUAAAUGGAGAGUGUAGGGACCCCUCCCCUUGGGAAACACGUGGCACGCAGCUCAUAGUGACGCGUGGCACGUGUUAUCAGCCGGACCGUCAUUAUCCGGAUUCCCCUAAGGAUAUGCAUGGUGCAGAUAUCCUAUCCGGACCGCCUCAAGGAAAGGCAAACGACGUUUCAUCUUCUCCUAUCCAAGGAAGAGCAAACGACGUUGGCAGAGCGUACACAUCCGGAUAGUCUCCACAACACAUCCGGAUAGUCAACAUGAGCCAUCCGGAUAUAAAUCUUCUGGAUGGUCAAUUAAAGUAAAGCGAGUCUUACACGCAAUCACAACAAGCAGCCAUGGCCCACAUCCCAUCACCUGCAGAAUGAGAAGACAAGAGGAAGUGACAGCAAGUCACUUCCCACGAUCAUUCUGCAUAAUCGCUUCCCACGAUCUCUGACGGCCGCAUCACCUACCAUAGUCUCUGACAGCCAUUCAUAGGAUGAUAGUGCUCCUACUAACACCUAUUGUCAUCAUCACAACAGAAAAGAUCUCCUCACCAUUAAUGAGAGGAACAGUACCCCUGAAGCUGGAUAUAUAUACCUUCGCACGAAGAAGAAAGGGGAUCUCCUGGUAAUCUCUUGAUACCUAGAAAAAGGCCAACUGAUUUAUAUAUCUCUUUCUCACCAUGGCUAACAAAACCAUCGGAGGGUGCGUCCGGACACCCUGUCCGAAUGCCUUUUGCAGGUGCAACCACUGAAUCAAGAACCCCUUGUGUGUUGAGAAUCACGUAUCCAUCCAUAUAGCAGCAACGUGGACCAUCGGAUACGCGAGGUGACAACAGAGAGCUCUAAUGGCGGUGGUGAUUUGCAGCAAUGUCAAUCUCUGGUGGCAGUGACAGCAAGCUCUAAUGGUGGUAAACUACGCCAACAGAGACAAUCUCCAUGAAUUGCACAACAAACUUCAAUGGCGAUCUCCAAUGGUGGUGAUGAAUUCUCCUACAACAAUGAACUCUCAUUCUCCUGUAGAGAUGAACUCUCAGAUGUUGGUGAAUUAUUUUUAUAUAUUUUUUUAAUAAAUUUUAAAUGAAAUAAAAUAAAUAAAUUUUAAAUUUUUAUACAUUUUUUUAAACUCAUUUAACUUAUUUUAAUUUUUCAAUUAUAAAAUUAAAUAAUUUGAAAAUAUAUAAAUUUCUAACUAAUUUUAAUUAUAUUUUAUUUUCUUUUAUAAUUUUCAUAUAUAGUAUAACCAGUACCAAUGUUUUCAAAAUCAGACCGGCGCUUGAACCAGAAAAGUUACCAGUUCAUGAUUUACGGUUCAUUAGUUGAACUGGUGGUCAAACCGCGGUCGAAUCAAUGACAUCAUAAAUAAUAAUUUUUUUUCUUUUUUCUCACUAACUAAUCCCACAUCAGAAAUGGAUAAAAAAUAUGUAGGAAUUGUGGUAUAAAAGGCAAGCUAGAAUCAUUAACUUGCAAGACUAAAAGCUUAUUGGGCUUGAUGACAAACGGGUUGGAUGGGCUCCUCAUGGAAUGAUCCGGUUCUCUUAUGGUAUCAAAACUUUUUUUUUUGGCUUUAAAAUAAAUAAAUAAAUAAACUGUUCGGUUCGCUAAGAAUCGCCCGAUUGGGGCAGUUCACUAGUUCAACCGCUGGUUUUGUUACCGAUCGGACCAACUGGUCCAGUCCGAUUUUUAAAUCAUUAUCAAAUACAAUAAAAUAAUUUUCCUUAACAUUUCUUUUAUUUUUUUAAGUACUUCUCAAGAAUCAAACAUAAUCAUAAGACUAAUCAUAUUUUUUAUUAUAAGAUCAUUCGAAUACAAUGCCCCAAGUGAGAAUCUCAAAACGUUUGUCAAUGUUUUACUAAUAUUAAGAUUUUGAAAAUCUAUACAAUUUCUUUUUCUUUUUUUCUUUUUUUAAUAUUUGGAUGAUAGAGCAUGAGUAUACAAGAAAGGUCAAUGCAAAGAUCAAUGUCUACAAUCUUGAAAUUGCACUUCUAGAGUUGGGCCCUAAAAGAGAACCCAAUAGGGGGGAGGGGUAGCAUAUAAACCUUCCUCAAUGGGCAUGGCAACACCUUGGAGAAGGAAAGUUAUAAGUGAAAGCACUGGAUGAGGAGAUCAUGGCACAAUGCUACUUCAAAAAAAUGAGUACUAUGUUCCCAAUAAUCAAACUUUAUCAUGAAAAUGUUGAUAAUAGCGAGGAUUAUCUUAUUUACAAGUAUAGAGACAAAUAGGCAAAAGGUAAAUAAAUUAUUAAUAGAGCUUAAAAUAAUAAAUUAAGCAAAUAAACAUAUGGUAAGAUCGAAACUCAUUAUCCUUCUACUAAAUAAAAUUCUAAUACCAUAUUGGAUAACUAAAUUUUUUAAGAACUUAAACUUAAGAUUUGGAUCCUUAUGAUUGUAUAUCACAUUUUCUAAUAAUAUAUCAAAUACUUUUCUAGAUUUUGUGUUGACUUGUGAUUACUUCUCUAAAUCAAUUUUUCAGCAUCUUGUAUAUAUGUAUUUGUUAGGAUGAAUCUGUCACGCCCCAAGACCCACUCCAAGGGCGUGACGGUCAUUUCACACCUCAAACCCGAAGGCUUAAAGUAUAAUCUGACCCAAACAAUCAUAUUGUAACUGGAUGUUACCAAUUACCAAAUACCUGUUCAGAGUAGCGGAACAAAAUCUAAAAUCCUCAAAAUUCAAUUUCCAAAUAACUUCCAAAUAUCAAAUGAUCCAAAUGAACAUAACUAACAGUUAAACAAAAUCCAACAUAAAAUCCUAAGUCAAAUCCUAAUGAUGACCAUUCCUCAGCCUAGCCAUCACUCCUCACCCGAACUAAGAGUACCUGAAAAAUUUUCAACAAUUGGGAAUGAGCUCACAGCCCAAUAAGGAAUAUUAAUGCAAUUCAUGGAUCAAAUAUUUUCAUUUCAAAUAGGAGAUAUCAAUUUUUUUUUUUCUCAUCGAAUAUCAGAGUUUCAAAAAUACCAAUAUAUUCAAAAUUCAACCAACCAAUUUCAUAUCAAAUUCAAACACUUUCACAUCAGACUCAAUCAAAUCCAUUCAAUUUUUUCAUUACUCUGGUUAUCAAAUAUCAAAUGCCCAGUUAGGUGGGACUUUUCAAAUGGGUGGCUAGCCUCAAAUUGUUCCUGGUGGACGAAACCAAACACUACUAGUACUAGUAACCUCUAACCAAACCCCUAGAGGCUGGGGUCCAAAUCAAUUACAUUCCCACCAUGAAAUGUAAAGGUCAACUAUUAUAGCCCGUUGACAGGGCCGAAUAGUCAACUAUUAUAUCCCGUUGACAAGGGCCAAACAAACCAGAGUGAUGUUUUUGUUCAAGUAUUCAAAUUUACACAACAUAAUAUCUCCAUAUUUUGUGUCAUAAAUAAAACAAAAUAUUCCAACAUAAUAUUCAGUGCAAAACAAUUUGAUCCAUGCAUGGUAACAAAAUAUCAUUUUCUUUUCCACAAUUCAAAAUAACAUAUAAAAUAAUUUAAUUUUAUAAAUAUUGCAUUAACUUCCCUUACCUCAAAAGAAGUCCUUGAAAGCUUGGGAGAAGAAUAAUUCUGAAAAAAAUAUAAUCUACUCUUCACCUAAUAUAACAUAAGAGAAACAAUUAUUACUAUUUAUUUAUAAUUUAACUAAUUUAUUCCUUAUUUAAAUAAAACUAAUAAAUUCCCAAUUUGUUUCUAAUAACACACUACUAAUUUAAUUAAAUUACAAUUUUAUUUCAUUAUAAAAUUCUAUAUAUAUAUAUAUAUAUAUAUAUAUAUAUAUAUAUAUAUAUAUAUAUAUAUUGCUAAAUCUAUUAUUACUAUUAUCUUAAUUAUUAAUCUGAAACUAAAUAUCAUUAUUUUAUUAAUUACCUAAUUUGAGGCUAAAUCAUUAUUACAAAAAAUAUAUUAUUAUAUAUUUUGCUAAAUCUCUUACAUGUAUGGGGUACACACCAAACAAGUAAAACAAAGCAAAAAAAUUUUUUUUUUCCAUUGCCAUCAUCAUAAUAAUGAAUCAUUAUAUAUAUAUAUAUAAGUCUCCUUCCAUCCGGGCACACGCCCAAAUUUUUUUUUUUUUUAUUUUCCUUCCUUCCAAUGCUGUGCACACGCGUUCUCCUUUUUUUUUUUUUUUUAAUUAACCCUAACCUAAAAUUGAAAUAUUCCAAGGAAUUUUUUUUUUCUAAUAAAACUUAAGAUCUCCCAAAUUCCAAUACUAAAAUCAAAAUAUUAAAUUUUCACUAUUUGAUAUUAAAACGAAUUAAAAAAAAUAAUCUAACCCUAAUCUAGAUUUGGGGUUUUCCAAAAAAAAUAUAUCUAAUGUGUUUGAAAUUAAUCAAUGAAUCUAAAAUAUUAAACUAGGGGUUAGAAUCUUACCUAUAGAGAUUUUUUCUUCAACCCUGAAAUCUGACUCCAACCUUACGUUUUCUGAAAUUCUGCGAAUAGGAACUCUAUUCAGAAAAGAAGGGAAAAAAUAAAAUUUCUAAUUUAUACCUAGGGUAUUUAUUCGUAAAAUUACACUUUUACCCCUCUUCCACUUUAUUAAAUUAAUUAAUUAACUAAUUAAAUUAUUAAUAACAAUUUCCUAAAUUACCCUUAAAAGAAAAUGCCUGGGCGUUACAGAAUCAAUUAUCAAUGAAUGCAAAAAUGCAACUCCUCAUAGAGUCUCUUGCUUAUUUCCUCUACAACUUAAUUAGAAAAACUUAAAAGAACUCCAGAGUGAUUUCACAAAGAAAUAGGAUAAUUAUUUUAUCUUCAAACCUGCAAAAAAGAUAUGGAAACCGUAUCAUUGAAAUAAUUAAAACAGAAAACAAUUGGAAUCAAAGUGCUAUUGCCUUAUUUUAAAAACAAAAAAUAAAUAAAAUAAAUCUUAGGUUUUAUGCAAAACUAAAUAUUAGUUGCCUAAAGCUCCUUAUUUGGAAUACUAGAUGGGUGUCAAGCAUCAUUUCAACUCGGCACCUCCUUCGGUAAAUACCAAAAAUAAUAUUUGUUUUGGGAACAAGACUAGAGUUUUGAGCGGAUAUAAUAUAUUUUAAAAAAAUACACAAAAUAGAUUUCCAAGUAAAAUAAUUCUCAAGCUAGUAUAUUUCAGCUACAUGGGCAUCCAUAUGGUCGUAGAUUUUUUUUUUUUUAAUGUUGGUCUAUGUCAUAAAACUUUAAUUAGUAACUACGAUUUUGAUUUUUUAAAACAUAAAAUGAUAGUUAGAUAUUAUAGUUUUAAAUUUAUUUUUAAAAUCAUAAUCAUCAAUUACGAUUAUAAACUUAAAUUUAAAACCUUAGUUGGUAACUAAUGUUUUGACCGUUUUACAACAAAAUCAAAAUUAUAGUUCACAACUAUGAUCAUGUGAUAUAGAUACAAGUGUCAAUAAAACACUCCAAUUUGAAAAUUAUUUUGAGAGGGGAUCUACUUUGUAGAUUUUUAUUUGUUCAAAUAAAUUAUUUUUCCUCAAGGCUUAGAAAACUAACUUGUUUAGAACUAAAUUCAAUUAUACACUCUCCUAAUUUUUCUUUUUAUAAGAUCAAAUCCACGUUAUCAGUUUUCCACUAGAAUCCUCAUGAUUACUUGUAGAAUUGUUGAGAUGAAAUGGAAGUGUGGUAUGAGAUGCAUGCUUGUUUAAACUUCAGUUUCAAUCUUGGUCAAUGCUGUCCAUUCCCUUAGAUGUGCAGGAUGUGGAACCACUGCUGGAUCCUGUUGUGAGACUUGACCAUCAAUAUCCUUUUGGACUUGUGAAAGCAACCUUCCCCCGUUUUCUUGACGCAACCUGCUACUUCCACGUGAGCAUGCCAAACACGCUUAGGGCCUGUUUGUUGGUGUUUUCAAAUACAUUUUUGGAAACAGUUUUUACUGUUUUCAGAAAUAAAAUUAUGUUUAUUUAUUCUCAAAAAUAAAAAGAAUAAAAAAAAAAUAUUUAGUUCAGUUAAUAAAAAUAAUUUUUAAUAACAAAUAAAACAAAAAAACUUGUUUGGAAAAUAUUAUUGUUGGUUUUGUUUUUUAAAGUUGAGUAUUUUAUUUAACUAAUUGAUAUUGUAAAUAUAUAAAUAAUUUUUCUUCGUAAAAAUAAAAAUGUUCCAUUCUAAACAUUUUUUGCAUCGGUUUUAAUUUUUUUAAACAAAUUAUUACUUUGUAAACAUGUCUAAAUAUGUUUGAUUUCAAUAAUUGAUAAACCAUCUUAUCAAAAUAUCAUAAAUCGGUAAAUAUCAAUAAUUGGAUUUUAUGAAGAUAAAAUUUAUGAUAUCAAAUAAUAAUGCAUUAUACUUGGAAACCGAUGAUUUAUCUUUUCUACUAAUAAUAUAUUUAUGAUAAUUUUUUAUUUAAAAAUAUUUAUAAUUUUAUUUUAUAUUUAAGAAUUAUAUAAAAGAUAAAAAAAUUAAAGUAAAUCAAACUAAUUUAUUUAUAAAAAAUUAUUAAUUUUUAUAAAUUUACAUAUUAUAUAUAUAUAUAUAUAUAUAUAUACGACAGGAAUCCUUGUACUCUUUUCUCUCAUUCUCCUUAUGUUCUCCGUUUAUCUUCCAAGGCCCAAACUUUUAUUCACUAAGGUUGAACCAUUUCUCUCCUCAAAUAUUAACUCACUAAAGUCAAAAUUUAGAUCUAUGAUUGUUGUUAAGAUUCUUGGUUAGGAUUUCAUCUUUUGUGUUAUUGUUUAUGUUUUUGUUUGGUUUUUGAGAAAUCCUAGAAUUUAUGAAAGUUUCUGCUUUGAAAUACAUUAAAAAAAAUCAUAUCAGGAUAAAAUCCCAAAAUAUCCGAAAAAUAUUGAAAUGGAAAUGAAGAAAAAAUAAAUAUAAAUAAAACUUGUUGAUUAAGUUGAAUUUUUUUUAAACCGAAUUUUCAAUUUUCUAAUUUUUCUCAUUUUCCUUGGCAGUGUAAAAAAAAAAAAAAGAUAAGAGCACAUAGAGAACACGACAACAACACAAAAAACAUCAUUUUAAAACCAGGUUUUAGAAAACACAUAAAACACUUGAGAACAAAAAACACUCUUUUAUAAAACAUGAUUUUUGUGUUUUUUGUUCUAAAAAAAGAAAACAAUUUUUGGAAAUACCAACCAAACAAGCCCUUAAUGACUCAUUUUUCUUUUAUUUAUUUAUUUUAUUUUUUUGCUUAUUUGUUUAUUCUCUUGUCUGUUUUUAUUUUUAAAGAAAUAAAAAUAUUUUUCAAAAAAAUAAAAAAAAUAAAAUUAAAGAAUGUUCUCCAAACUAAAUGAAUAUUAUAGAACCCGACCAACAACAUACUAAACAAAAUGUAAAAAUCUAAAAAUAUGUUUGGUAGUAAUUGUUUUUAAUAUUUUUAAUACCUAAAAAUGAAAAAAUUUAGUGUUAAAAAAUGAAAAAUAUUUUAUAAAAUCACUGUAAAACUUAUUCUAAAUUAUUGAACUAAAUACGAAAAUAACAUAUCAUGCACGAAAAUAAGAUGAAGCAAAAAUAACUUGUAAUGUACACCUUGGGAAACACAUGAUAUUUUAGCAUCGUGUAGCAGAUUGCAAAAUCAAAUUUCGUGAGGAAUCAGGUGCCCAUAAAUCUCGUAUCUUCAUAAUGGCAUAUAGAGGAAAGUCAAGGUAAACGAAACCAUCAUAUUCUUCAACUUGCAGCCAACCAAAUAUGUUCAAGUCCAUUCAAUACAGUCCAUAAAAAUUUUAUUUUAUUUUUACAAAUUUUUUUUUCUUUCUAGAAUUCGAAUCUGAGCCUCACGACUAAAACCGAAUACGUACAAAGCAUCUAUUCUAAAAAUAAAAAAAUUAAAUUGAAUUAAAAAUUUUGGAUAUUAUAAAGCAGAAUACGUACAAAUUCUGUUGAAAGGUGAGUCAUAACAGUUAAAAAUUUAUAUAUAAUUUUUAUAUAUAUUUUAAUUAGUUUUCAAUUUUGGAUAUUAUCAAAUAAAAUUUUUAUGUAUAAUUUACUUUAGUCAGUAUUGUCCAACAUAAUUAAAUAAUACCAUGGUGGCUUAGGUUAAUUCCAAAAUGAUGGUAAUGGACUAAUGACAGAAAAAUUAUCAUACAAAAUACCUAGGCAACCAUAGGUGAAAAAAAAAGUAAUAUAAAUUCCAUAUAUUAUUAUUUAAUAUUAAUUUUCAGUCACCAUCAUAUGAUUUUUCAUAAAAUAAAAUAAAAAGGUAAAAAGUAAAUGUUCAUUAUGUUUGUUAGUAUAGUAUCAAAAGAAACUUAUUAAAUUUUUAGAAAUAUAAUUUAGAUUUAAAAGUAAUUGUAAAAAUUUGAAAAUAAGACUUAUAUUAUGAAAACAUUAAAAAAUAUUAUAAUUUAACCACAAAGAUAAUGAGUAUGACUAAGAUCGACGAUUAGGAAAAGAGAUUUUAUAAAAAAAAAAAUAUAUAUUUUGAAGUAUCUUACAUGGAUCAUUGAUUUUUAUUCAAAUUUUAAACAAAUUCAUACUAAUUUGGUUCUGGUUCUACUUGUUUCUGGUUCAAAAUGAGUUCAACGACACCUGGCCAACGGAGAUUGGUAAUUUGGCGAAUCUUGAACAAUUGGCCAUGGCCUAUAAUGACAAAUUCCGGCCUUCAGCCCUUCCAAAAGAGUUUGGCGCAUUGAAGAAGCUGAAAUAUCUGUGGAUGACGGAGGCGAAUUUGAUUGGCGAAAUACCGGAGAGCUUCAACAAUCUAUCGAGUCUGGAACUCUUGGACCUCUCAGUCAACAAAUUGGAAGGUACGAUCCCGGGAGGCAUGCUUACGUUGAAGAAUUUGAACUAUUUGCAUUUAUUCAUUAAUAGAUUGUCCGGCUACAUUCCUUCAUCCAUAGAAGCUCUCAACUUGAAACAAAUUGAUCUUUCCGACAACCAUUUGACGGGGUCCAUACCAGCGGGUUUCGGGAAGCUACAAAAUUUGACGGGUUUGAAUCUUUUCUGGAAUCAGUUGUCAGGAGAGAUACCAGCAAAUAUAAGCCUCAUUCCUACACUGGAAACCUUCAAAGUUUUUAGCAAUCAAUUGAGUGGAGUUUUGCCCCCAGCAUUUGGCCUUCAUUCGGAGCUCAAAUUCUUUGAGAUUUUUGAGAAUAAACUAAGUGGGGAAUUACCUCAACAUUUAUGCGCUAGGGGGGCUUUGCUUGGAGUGGUCGCUUCCAACAACAAUCUCAGCGGGGAAGUGCCCACGUCCCUCGGGAAUUGCACAAGUUUGCUCACCAUUCAGCUUUCCAACAAUCGUUUUUCAGGCGGGAUUCCUUCCGGCAUCUGGACAUCCCCGAACAUGGUAUCGGUGAUGUUAGAUGGAAAUUCAUUCUCAGGGACACUUCCAAGUAAAUUGGCAAGGAAUUUGUCUAGAGUGGAGAUCGCUAACAACAAGUUUUAUGGUCCAAUUCCUGCUGAAAUCUCUUCCUGGGUGAACAUCUCUGUGCUCAAUGCCAGCAACAAUAUGUUGUCUGGAAAAAUUCCAGUGGAAUUGACCAGUCUUUGGAACAUCACUGUUCUGUUGCUUGAUGGGAAUCAAUUCUCGGGUGAACUUCCAUCCCAGAUCAUCUCAUGGAAGUCUUUCAAUAAGUUAAAUCUCUCAAGAAACAAACUUUCUGGCCUAAUUCCCAAGGCAUUAGGUUCUUUAACCAGCCUUAGUUACCUCGACCUGUCAGAAAACCAGUUCUCAGGUCAAAUUCCUCCUGAACUUGGCCAUUUGAACCUUAUUAUCCUCCAUCUUUCGUCCAACCAACUCUCUGGGAUGGUCCCCAUUGAGUUUCAACAUGAAGCAUAUGAAGACAGUUUCUUGAACAAUCCCAAGUUGUGUGUCAAUGUUCCCACUCUGAACCUCCCUAGAUGUGAUGCCAAACCCGUCAACUCCGACAAAUUGUCAACCAAAUAUCUCGUUAUGAUCCUAAUUUUCGCUCUAGCUGGUGCUUUCGUCACCCUGUCCAGGGUUCAUAUCUAUCAUAGGAAGAAUCACAGUCAGGACCAUACAGCUUGGAAAUUUACUCCAUACCAUAAACUAGAUCUCGAUGAAUACAACAUAUUGUCCAGUUUGAUAGAAAAUAAUCUGAUCGGAUGUGGUGGGUCAGGGAAAGUAUACCGAAUUGCUAAUAACCGUUCUGGUGAACUCUUAGCGGUUAAAAUGAUUUCUAAUAACAAGAGAUUGGAUCAAAAGCUUCAGAAAAAAUUCAAAACAGAAGUCGAGAUAUUGAGCACCAUACGCCAUGCCAAUAUAGUGAAGUUGUUGUGCUGCAUAUCAAAUGAAACCUCAAGUCUUCUUGUUUACGAGUACAUGGAGAAGCAGAGUUUGGAUAGAUGGCUUCAUAGGAAGAAGCAGAGAACAUCGUCCAUGACAAGUUCAGUUCAUAACUUCGUCUUGGAUUGGCCAACAAGGUUGCAGAUUGCCAUUGGAGCUGCAAAAGGCCUAUGCCACAUGCAUGAAAACUGCUCUGCCCCGAUCAUACACCGAGAUGUGAAGUCCAACAACAUCUUGCUAGAUGCUGAGUUCAACGCGAAAAUUGCGGAUUUUGGAUUAGCCAAGAUGUUGGUCAAGCAAGGAGAGCCCGACACCAUGUCAGGAAUUGCAGGCUCUUACGGAUAUAUUGCCCCUGGUAAGACCAUCAAGGCCCUCCUUUCCACAUGUUUUCAUUUCCAUAAUUUAUCUAUAAUUUUUAUCAUACAAUUCUUGUAUACUUGGAUGAUAGAGUAUGCUUAUACAACAAAGGUGAACGAGAAGAUCGAUGUAUAUAGCUUUGGAGUAGUCCUGCUUGAGCUAGUGACGGGGAGAGAACCCAACAGCGGGGACGAGCACAUGUGCCUUGUAGAAUGGGCAUGGGAUCAGUUCAAAGAAGGGAAAACCAUUGAGGAAGUGAUGGAUGAGGAGAUCAAGGAACAAUGUGAAAGAGCACAAGUGACCACUCUCUUCAGUCUAGGCCUCAUGUGCACUACCACAUUACCAUCCACUAGGCCAACAAUGAAAGAGGUUUUGGAAAUUCUUCGACAAUGCAGUCCUUAGGAGGGCCAUGGUAGAAAGAAAAAGGACCAUGAAGUUGCACCUCCACUUUGAAAUGACACUUACCCCACCACUUACAAGUUAUGAGGAUAAAGCCCUUAAAAACAUGAUAUGAUGUAAUAAAUUUGAAAGUCAUUAUUUAUUUAAUGAUGUUUCGAUUUCACUUUUAUCUAUCCUUCUUUCAUGUAUUAUACUUUAUGAGCAUUCUUGCCUGCAUCUUUUGCAUUGCACUAGCUUAGGUGCAUUAAGAGUUGCACAGAAGAUCUAUGUCAUGGGUUCCUUGCAAAUAUAUGACUUGUUCACAAUUAGUUCAUGGGUCUAGGAAGCCCAUUAGAGGUUGUAAUAAACCACUUCCUAAUUGGAAGAAUGGCUAGUCUUAGCUAUUGGAAUGAGUUUCCAAUGGUAAGUGCAUUAGUGUGUAUGGUUACAUAUUGGACAUGACCUAUGGUGAAUCAUGACUUAAGGUUAUCAAGCAGUCAUGACCUUAUCAAACUGCUUCAUUAUGUUGUUUCUCAACCUUGAGAGAAUAUCGAGCUUGUACUAAAGUUAGCAAUGACUUUGACAUAUGGGUGAGAUCGUAAGUUGAUCAUAUAUUUCCUAUGGAUUGAGUCACUGUUGAUGGAAGAUGGUAGUGAUAGGUAUUUUCAAUAAAAACACCAUGAUGUCUCUUGGGAUUAAGACAACGUGCCCCUUUUAGUGAUCCUAAAGAGGUGUGUUCAUAGAAACUAUGGUCAUAAUAGUUCCUUAAGUAAAACUCAACAUAGGCUCUUUGAGAGCUAAGACAUGUCAAUUGAAUACACAAUAUGAGGAUUUGUAACUCAAUGAUGGUAGAGGUAGUCUUGAAAGACUAAUAACUUUCACUUUGUUAGACUACGAAUAUCAGUUCAUGGGAAGACUAAACACAAUAAAUAGCAAGUCACAAACUUGAACAUUUGGUAUCUCAUUAUUAUUUUCAAUAAAAUAACAAUGAGAUGGUAAGUUGAUCAUAUAUACCUUAUGGAUUAGGUCAUUGUUAAUGGAAGAUGGUAGCAAUAGGUAUUUUCAAUAAAAGUACCAUAAUAUCUCUUGGGAUUAAGACAGUGUGCCCCCUUGGAUGAUCCUAAAGAAGUGUGUUCAUGGAAACUAUGGUCAUAGUAAUUCCUUAAGUAAAACUCAACAUAAGCUCUUUGAGAGCUAAGACAUGUCAAUUGAAUACACAAUAGGAGGAUUUAUAACUCAAGGAUGAUAGAGGUAGCCUUGAAAGACUAAUAACUUUCACUUUGUUAGACUACAAAUAUCAGUUCAUGGGGAGACUAAACACAAUAAAUAGCAAGUCAUAAGCUCGAGCAUUUGGUAUCUAGUUGUUAUUUACAUAGGAUACCGAAGUUCAAUUGAUUCUCUGUAGUGGGAUGUUCAAUCAACUUUAGAAUUGGAUUUUGAGAGAGUCGGUAUUCCUACGGGUCCCAAUGGUCCUUGCUCUAAGCUUAUAUACUUUGUUGGCAUGGGUUAUAAGAGUCGAAUUGGCUCUAGGUUUACUUUUGUACAUAAGGGCAUUUUGAUAAUUACGCAAGGUUACACAAAGGUAAGUGAACAAGGUUUUUAGAUUGGGUUAAUUGAUUAAUUAGUAGGCCUUGUUUGAUUAAUUAAUCAAUUAAGACUUUUUUUGGGCUAUAUUAAGUGACCUAAGCCCUUAGUGGGCUCAAGUCACUUAAACCUAAUAGAAAACCCUAUAAAUACCCCCUUAAGGGUUAGAGUUUAUAUAGUUUUUCUAAAGAGCCAUCUUCUAUCUCCAGAGAGAGAAAGAAAGAGAAAGAGUCAUAGCAUCCACCUCCCUUCUAUCUCCACUAGAAGUGUGGCAAGAUCAAGGUUCAAGUCAUUGGGAGGAAGACUUUGGAUUUACAAGACUUCUGCGAUUUCGUUCUUCAUUUUCACCACGUGGAUUUGAUUCAAGAACAUCCGAAUUUAAGGUAUGGUUUUCAUUAGCACUUUCUGAAUCCCUUUAAAGUUUAAAAAUGUUAUUUUUCCUUUGUGCAUAGGAUUAAUUUAGAAAAUGCUUAGAAUAGUUAUGCAUGUUCCAAACCUGAUAUGAGCUUAGGAAAUGGAGAGAUCCUAGUUUUUUCCCUCAAUGUUUGUGCUCCAAAGUGUUGAGAUAGUUUAGAGGGUGACAUGAUGAUUGACAUAAUACCUUAUGUGGAUAACCUAGUGAAUCCCUUCUCCAAGACAUUGAUAGGGAGAGUCUUUGUUAGUCACAUGGAUAACAUAGGUUUCAGAUGAGUAUUUGGCAUGCUUUAAAGGCAUGAUGCUUUGAGGGCUAAUGGGAGAAUAUUAGGAUAUAGCCCUUAAAAGCAUGACAUGAUGUAAAAAAUUUGGAAUUCAUUAUUUAUUUAAUGAUGUUCUAGUUUCACUUUUAUCAAUCUUUAUUCCAUGUAUUAUACUUUAUGAGCAUUCUUGUCUGCAUUUUUUGCAUUGUACAUGACUUAAGUGCAUUAGGAGUUACAUAGAAGAUCUAAGUCAUGGGUUUCUUGCAAAUAAAUGACUUGUUCACAACUGAUUCAUGGGUCUAGGCAACUGAUUACUACUCAAAAAGUGUUAUUUGAUAGCUUGUAAUUAACUCUUUUAAACACUUUUGAGUAGUAGUUAUCACUUUUUAACCCAAUUAACAUAUUAAGGACCCUUACAAUCAAUUCUAAUCAAAUUGUGUUAAGUUUUGGUGUUUUGAUAGCUUUUUUAUCACCAAAGCAAUCCGAGAUUGAGGAGAGUUCUUUGGAAUCCAUGGCAAAGAUGUCCGGACAGGGCGUCCGGACACACCAUCGGAGGGCGGCGGAAUAUGGGUUGUGGCAGGCUGUCGGAAUGACGUAGCAAGGUUUGCUCACUUUAGUCAAUGUUUUCCAUCCGGACAACAUAUCCGGAUAGGAUAUGCUAUCGUCCGGGGUGUGAUGUGCACGAGUGUCGUGUGCUUCUCCCUAAAGGAGUCCGGAUAGCAUGGCGGCGCGUGUCCUCUUGGGGAAUCUGAAUGGAGUUGCACCGGAUAGCAAUGCGCGCUCCGUGUCAUCAGGGGAAGGGGUCCCUACACCUUGUACACGCAGAUGGUCCCCCUUGCAACGCGCGGAUAUCUCACUCCCAAAAUUCUGUCUGGUCAGACAUGUCUGGAUCCUCUGAUCGGAUAUUUCACAUCUGGAUAUCUCACAACCGGAUGGGAGAGGAGGACGUUUCAACUUCCCCGGUCAGACAUGUCCGGAUCCUCUGAUAGCGCCUACCCGGAGAGUUUUUCUCUCAGUAUACAGUGCCGCAGUGUUCUCCUGAAGCUUCCUGAUAUUUCCAACCGACAUCUUGAAAUAUUUUGCUUUAGAUAUUUGAUGUCUAAAUCCCCAAACUCUCCUUGUAACCCACCUAUCAUAGGAUUUCUUAGUCUUUAAGUAAGAAAAAUGGUGAAUAACCUCUGAUAUAUAUAGUUUGUAAUUUUCUUUAUAAGAAAUUAUGAUGUAAUCGGCGGAAGAAAGAAAUAUAUUUCACAGAGCACUUGCUCUGAUUUUCAUAUAUAUUUUUGUUUUCUCAUUCUUUUUCUUACUAGCCAAACAAGCUCUGAGGAAGUUUCCUCAGAGAAUGAGUGGCUAGACUUUUAGUUCCUUGGAGCUAAGGUUGCCGGGAAAGGUUUCAAGUGCAAGAAUUUAUAGCUUUGUGGUUUCGGCCAUUAAUGAAGAGAAAGUAUGAUCCUUUAAUGAUUUCUAUGUUUUUUAGUUAACUUAAAACACCUUCAAUUCACUUGAGCCAACACUUGGUAAGGCAAGUGAUCUCCGUCCAUGGGGAUGCACUAGUUUGCCUCUUGCGAGCUUUUGAGAAGUGACUUGAAAGUAGGAUUUUCUAUAAUUGCCAACACUUGGUAAGCUUUUGGACUCCAAGGAGACAUCCAUUAGUUAUCUUUUGCGAGCUUGAGAAAGGAAGUCCAAAGUUAAUGAUCACCUUGAAUGGCAAAUGCUAGAUGAGAGGCACGAGCCAUUGCAAGUUGCAUCAGUGAGAAGAAACUAGAGCUGAAAUCCAUUUAAAGGAUACAUCUGUACAACACCGGUUAGAGAAUUGACUAUAUGUAAAUUCUCUAAUGCGAGGAAAUGAACCAAAUGACCGAAGCUCUAUUUUUGCAUAAGGAACCUCCCUUGUGAACCUAAACCUUCAAGGAAUGUUUUUUUUCAUAAGUCAUUUACAUUACUUUCUUUUUAGUUAGCUUUAAACAAAAUCUCAUUUAAACAAAGUUUAUGUUUUAUUUCUUAAGCUAACCUUGAAAUGAAAAUAAGAUGAAGCAAAAAUAACUUGUAAUGUACACCUUGGGAAACACAUGAUAUUUUAGCAUCGUGUAGCAGAUUGCAAAAUCAAAUUUCGUGAGGAAUCAGGUGCCCAUAAAUCUGGUAUCUUCAUAAUGGCAUAUAGAGGAAAGUCAAGGUAAACGAAACCAUCAUAUUCUUCAACUUGCAGCCAACCAAAUAUGUUCAAGUCCAUUCAAUACAGUCCAUAAAAAAAAAAUUUUUUUUCUUUCUAGAAUUCGAAUCUGAGCCUCACGACUAAAACCGAAUACGUACAAAGCAUCUAUUCUAAAAAUAAAAAAAUUAAAUUGAAUUAAAAAUUUUGGAUAUUAUAAAGCAGAAUACGUACAAAUUCUGUUGAAAGGUGAGUCAUAACAGUUAAAAAUUUAUAUAUAAUUUUUAUAUAUAUUUUAAUUAGUUGUCAAUUUUGGAUAUUAUCAAAUAAAAUUUUUUAUGUAUAAUUUACUUUAGUCAGUAUUGUCCAACAUAAUUAAAUAAUACCAUGGUGGCUUAGGUUAAUUCUAAAAUGAUGGGAAAUAAAUCAAAAUGGUAAUGGACUAAUGACAGAAAAAUUAUCAUACAAAAUACCUAGGCAAACCAUAGGUGAAAAAAAAAUGUAAUAUAAAUUCCAUAUAUUAUUAUUUAAUAUCAAUUUUCAGUCACCAUCAUAUGAUUUUUCAUAAAAUAAAAUAAAAAGGUAAAAAGUAAAUGUUCAUUAUGUUUGUUAGUAUAGUAUCAAAAGAAACUUAUUAAAUUUUUAGAAAUAUAAUUUAGAUUUAAAAGUAAUUGUAAAAAUUUGAAAAUAAGACUCAUAUUAUGAAAACAUUAAAAAAUAUUAUAAUUUAACCACAAAGAUAAUGAGUAUGACUAAGAUUGACGAUUAUUUUGAAGUAUCUUACAUGGAUAGUUGAUUUUUAUUCAAAUUUUAAACAAAUUCAUACUAAAAACCCAUAACGCUUGCUAAAUCUAAUCUUGUAACCUGGUGUUUUGUUCUUAGAAUAUAUAUAUAUAUAUAUAUAUAUAUAUAUAUAUAUAUAUAUUUCCGCUGCUCCAAGUAAGCUGGAGAUGAAAGGGACCACCAAUCACGAUCAAUGGUUAGAUCAAAAUUAGCUUAUCUGUGUUACACACGACUCCUGGCUCCUUCGUAAUUAAUCCCAACACAUAGGCCAUUUUGUAAAAUUCAGUAAAUAAAUUCUGACAGCCAACCAGAUUUUGAAAAUGAACCGUCCCAACGCCACAAAAAUGCCGAAAGUAAACUUUUUAUUUGCCAAAAUUCCAUUCCCCGCUCUGUUUCUCCUCCUCGUCCUCUCCUUACCCUUUCAAGUAAUUUUCGAAAAUCUGGACGAUGAACUAUCAAUCCUACUAGACGUUAAACAACAACUGGGCAAUCCCUUGUCACUCCAAUCUUGGAAUUCCUCAUCCUCACCCUGUGAUUGGCCGGAAAUUACAUGCAUCGACAAUAUCGUCACUGAAAUUUCACUCAGCGACAAGACCAUCACAAAGAAAAUUCCGGCUAGAAUUUGUGACCUCAAGAACCUUAUCGUACUUGACGUCUCCAACAAUUACAUUCCAGGCAAGUUCUCGGAUAUUCUAAAUUGUUCUAAGCUGGAGCAUCUCCUCUUGAAGCAAAACUUCUUCGUGGGUCCAAUUCCAACUGACAUUGAUUGACUUUCACGUCUCCGGUACCUAGACCUCACAGCAAACAACUUCUCUGGAGAUAUUCCCACAGCAAUUGGGAGGCUACGGGAGCUGUUCUACUUGUUUCUGGUUCAAAAUGAGUUCAACGGCACCUGACCAAUGGAGAUUGGUAAUUU
rnacentral:lncRNA from 1 species